rnacentral:lncRNA from 1 species
UCCUAUUUUGCAAACAAUAACCAUUCAUCAAUGUACUAUAAGUGAAACUAUCAGGCAUUUUACCUAAUUGAAUCAUCUGGUUGAUUAUGGCCUCUGCUUCUACAAGCAUUCCCUCUUUACAAUGUGCAUCCACCAGAAUAUUGAAGGUUUGAACAUCCGGCAUGACUCUGCUUUGCACCAUAUGACUCAGCAGUCUUUGGGCCUCUUUCAAUUGGCCGGAAUUGCACACUCCUUGAAUGACAGAGUUAUAAGUAACGACAUCUGGUUCAAUUCCUGCCUCCAUCAUCUUCUCCAACAAGACCAUAGCAUCUUUCCAUUGGCCUAGCUUGCACAAGUAAUGAACCAAGGAGGUAUAAGUGAAUAUGUUGGGUUGGAAGCCUCCGCUUGUCAUCUCUUUCAACAAUAUGAGAGCAUCUUCCAUCUGGCCUACAUUGCACAGACCGUGGAUCAAGGAGUUAUAAGUAACAACAUCUGGUUUGAUACCUUUCUCGCUCAUGCUUUUGUGGAGUCUCAAGGCCUCUGUGAUCAAUCCCUCCUUGCAAAGACCAUUUAUUACUAUGUUGUAUGUGAAGGAAUUGAUGCUGCAGCUUCUCUCUUCCCAGUUCCUCAGCAAUUCGAUGGCCAAUCUGGUGUUACCCGCCCUGCAUAACCCCUUGGUGAUUAUCGCAUACGUGGUCUCACUAGGUUCGGGGCCAUUUCGUCCCAUAUCAUCGAGGAACCUCAGUGCUUGAUCAGUUUUGCCCUGAAUAAAGAGACCAUCAAUCAGGGUGUUCCACGUCACCACAUCGAUGUGAAACCCAAGCUUGAAGAUUCUGCCCAGAAUAGACAAGCCCAUAUCGACCCGCUUUAACCGGCAGAAGCAAUUUAUCCAAAUAUUGAGCAAGGCAACAUCACCCUCGAUCCCCAAAGAAGGCAGCUGCUCAAUCAAUCGGAUGGCAGUCGAGUAGUGCUUCAUCCUCACUAUAGCGCCCAACAGUAGACUGAAAUCCCAGGGGGAAGGCAAAGGGCUCGCCUUUAUCAUUUUACCGAAGCAACACAGGGCAUCACCGACACUCGUAAACACACCACCACCACCACCAGCUCUGCGAUUUGUCCUCACGCAACACAAGACCUGGUUGGGGUCGUCUAAAUUAGGGUUAGGGGUCGAGGAAAACCUCCGACGACGGUGAGACGAGAAAGGGAGAUGGAGGAUGGAAUGGGAUGUGGACUCGCUGGAGAUCGCAGCUGGAGCACCAAGAAGGAGGAAGAUGGAAGAAGCAGGGCAGAUAUUCGUUGGCUUCAUCGGUUGAUGACGAAUCUGAAAACUGAAAAGCUUCAGCUCAUGGCGCUCUCUCUAUCUCUCUCCCCGUCUCACUAUCAAGCUUUUAUACUCAGGCUCGGCUCUACCGUUUGUUGGUUAUAAUUAGGGGUGAGCAGCGGUCCAAGGUCAACCCUGGACCGACCUGAACUGGCCCGACCCUACUCGUCCUAGUUCGGUUCCCCGGGGACUGGGUUGGUCUUUGGUACUGAAAUUUCAAGAUCAACACUAUACGGGUUGGUUUUUGGUCCUAAGAGUUUUUGGUCGGUCUAAUCUUGGACCAACCAUAUAUAUUAUAUCAUAUUAUAUUAUUUAUAAUUCUUUUAUAUAUUCAAACCUAAAUAAAAUAUUUGUUAUAUUAUAUUAUAUUAUAUUAUAUUGAAAUGUUCUAUCCAUAAUUAAAAGUUCAAGUGAAUUAACAAGAUGUGAAGUUAUAUAUUUAUGGUUUAUAUUAAGUAUUUUGAACUUUUUAUGGUUCAAUUGUAUUUUACUACUGAAUUUCAGCUGUACUUUUCUUUUCAAUUUGUGUCAAAUGGUAGAAGUUUUUGAAGAGUAGAAUAGUACUACAGUUGCUACAGUGAUUUGCUAGUCAAGUGGUGUAAGCUCAUUUUUGGUUGAAUGGACUCUACAUGAUCAAAUGCAGGAAACGCUUUUGAAUAUAGUGUUAUGAAUAUUAAAGAUAGAUGAUUACAAGAACUUUCUAUAUUAUCUCAUAUCUCGAUGAGCGGUUAGCAUGUACAAAAUUUCUAUUAUUGUGUCAUCUUAAAUUUGCUAAAUAUGUAUUUGUAUUUAUAAUUUAGUUACACAAUACCGCAUUGUCGAUGGAUGUGUAAUUUGAAUUUGUAGGUUUGCUUUUUUAGGGAGUAUAAAAAAUAAGACGAAAAAAAUUAUCAAUCAGUCCUGGGUUGACCCUGGAACCGGACCAAACCCAUUGGGUCGGUCCGGUCCUUGGUCCCAGACUCAAUAGGGUCGGUCCUUGGUCCUAAAAAUUGAGGACCAACACUGUACGGGUUGGUCCUAAGAUUAAGGGGUGGCCAAGACCACCCGGACCAUGCUCACCCCUAGUUAUAAUAUCGAACGGAAAGAUGUAAGAUCUGGAUAGGGCAUGAUUUCAAAUGAUCUCGCAUCAUUAUUUACUGACGAUACAAAUUUUCUUUUAUCCAUUUUUUAAAUAAGUAAUACAAUUAAUCAUUUUCACCACAAAAUCAUAUUUGCAUUUUUCGUUCCUAGUGGCUCGUGUGCAUAGCUUUACUUCUCUUGCAAAUAGUUAAGACUUGCUGGAUCAUUAGACAUACUCAUAAAUAGUGUGAUAACUUAAUGAUAAGUAUCUAACAAUAUAUUUCAAUCGACUUAACUUGUAACUACGAUUGUGUAUGUUUGUACGGAUGAAUAGAUUAUAGCAUGUAACACGGAAUUUAACUCAUUCUAUGUCCCGAUCCAACAAUUGAAGUUUGAUUUGACAAAUAUUUCUGACUCAGUCAUUCCUAAUUCCACUACAAGGCCUUCAGCAUUCUGCUUCAUAAACCGCAAUCCUUCUUAGAAAUAUAGUUGUUCAAGGAUUUAAACAAAAACACCGGAGAAGAUGAGAGAGAGAGAGAGAGAGAGUAGUGACAGGCUAUGCCGUUAAAAUUUGAAAUUGAAACACGAAAUUUAUCCUAGGAGUACGUUUAACAAAUAACUCCACUAUAAUUAGCACAUUGCAUCUCUAUGUUACAACUCUCAAUUACAAGAAAAAGAAAUCAUAUAUGCCUAGUAACUAUUCAUGGACUUGAACCAAAAUUAUUAAUAAAAUAUGAGCUCAAACUAUAAAAACCUCAAAACUCCUCUAUGCCUUCCUAUUAAUUGGGAGUAUGAAUCACAUCCCCUACAUAUCAUAUAGUACGGAAAUUGUUGUUAGAGAGGCAAAGUGGCAAAAAAUAGGGAUGGAUUUGAGUGGGUCACAGAGUGAGAAAGAAGCAAUGGUGGGUGGCAACGAAUACUCCGGUGGUAGAUGACGACACUCGGGCUAGUCAUUGGUGACUACGAUUGGCGAGAGAGGCAAACAAGAACUAGAGGUCGAGAGGGGCAUCAAGCGUGAGUGAAUUAAUGGCAACGGGCUUUACCCAAAUGAAAACCAAAAUGAGUUUACUUUCAUUAUGAAACUCCAAUUAGUACUGCCUCAAACAUUUUUCCCAAAAGUCUUUUGAAAAAAAAAAACUAAAUUAAUACCUCAUGAUAUAUUUAUUCAAACUAAUUUCAUCUCAUAGAAUAUCCUAAUUGAUACCUCUCACACAAAUCUAUCCUCCGUUAAAAUGCAUACAUGUCAACAUACAUGAAUUUUCCACAUCGGAUCAAUCAUUUUUUACCUCUCAUUCAUCAUGUGUUGACAAAUAUGCAUUACAAGUAGAUUCUGGUUUUAUUUUUUGUGAGACGAAAUUAAUUUGCGACCAACGUGCCAUGCAUUUACUAAUUUGAGAUUUUUUUUUGUAAGGUUAGUAAUAUAUUGACUUUUAACCAAAAAUUAUACAACAGGGGGUUCUUGGCACCAAAAAACUUACUCACUUUGGAAUUUAUCGUGAUAUUAAUCCUUCAAAAUAUUAAAUGCUAUCAUCUGCUAGUGAAAUUUACUACCAUGAACAACAGUCUAAAAAUACUAAAGUUGAAUGGGAAAUAACUUUUGUACCUUCAAUCACUUCAAACAUAUUCAUGUUCACAUAUGCAUCCUCUCUGAAGUAAAUAUGGGUAGGUAGGACAUUGGAGGGAUCAGGGAUCAGGCUGUGUUAGGAAGAGAGCAAAAAGGAAAACCAAUAUCUCUCCCUCAAAGCACAUACACAAUAGAUUAAUCGGGAUUUAUGACCUCAACAUUAAUUAAAAAAAAGGAUUUUUGUGCUUAGCAAACUAAAGUAUUAACAUCUUUUUAAUUUAAGAGCAUCCUCACGCUGCUUGAUUGUUUAUAUGAAGCAUAAACCGACGGGUACAUGUACCAUGUAUGAAUAGAGAUUUCUUGCAUAACUUAGCUCAAGGCUGGUAGGGACCAGCCUUGGGCUUUCAGAAUUCUACCAAAUGUUGAAAACAUUUUUUUUCCUAAACUAUCCUCAUUAAUUUUUUGUAUUUCUGUUAUUGCCCCUAUAUUUAUUUAUUUUUUUAAAUGAAGAAGGAGCAGCCCUUUGCCGAACCAACGAAGGGCGACGGCCGCCAGCGCCAGAUCCGGCUCGCCAGCGGCCACAGCCCUUCGCCGGCUGGCGAAGGGUUUAGCUGAAUUUUCAAAGAAAAGAAAAAUAUAUAUAUAUUACCCAAAGCCCCUUGGAAAGUUCUUUUUACCAAAUACACAUUCAACUCAAAGUUCAUUUGCAAAAUUUUUUUACCAAACACAAUUGCAUUUUUCCCAAGUAGCUUUGGGCUUUCAGCAUUUGCAUUGAACUCAAAGCCCAUUGCAAAUGCUGAACCAAACGCAGUCUUAGAUACACGAGAAACAAAACCCUCCAAAAAUCCUCAUAAUAAAGCAAUAGAAGGUCACCCAGACUUAAAACAACUCCGUUAAUGGGACAUGGGACUCAAUGAGAUGAUUUGUGGAAUAAAACUUGCCCUCAAUCUAGUUUACUCUUCAUCACUUUUCAGAUGGAAAGAGUGGACAGACCUCAGAAAAAAUGGAUAGCUCAACCAGAAAAGGAAGAAGUUCCGUUUGUCACCAGAUGUUUAACCAACAACUCCAUUGUUGCCAUACUUGCUGAAAAACCCCUUUCAACCAUUUCACCGACAGCUUAUGCUGCUUUCAUGUCUUCCUUAUUUCUUAGUAGUCCUUGGAUUAUGAUGUUAAGAGAGACACCAUCUGGAAAGCAUCCAAUACUCUCCAUCUCCUUCAGCAGCUGAUACGCCUCCUCCGCACAUCCUCCUUCGCACAAUCUACACAUGACAAAGCUAUACAUCCACACGUCAGGUUCCAGCCUCAAGCAUGCAAACAAUUAAACAGCCCCAUAGCAUCGUCAAGCUUCCCGGAGUUACACAUGCCUUAUAUUAGAAUAGUGUAUGACACAAUAUCCGGUGUGAAUUUGGAGUCUUUCAUCUUUCGAAGCAAUAUCAGCCCAGCAUACUCGGUCAAUGGGUCGAGCAAGCAUCUUCACCAAUAGUCAUUGCAUGGGCAUGUUCCAUCCAUAAAAUGGUGGAACCUGUUUGCAUCCCUUACGACUAUAGGUCUUCCAGUUGCCAUGGAGAUAUAUUUGAUCGCAGAAUGACAAUCUCCACAAAUGCGAAGAUUCUUAAAUACCCUAAUAGAUUUCGGACUGGAGGUGCUUAUAAGGCCAAAAACGACAGCAAUUUUCUCACUGUGUUGGAGCAAAUAUUGUUCCUUUUGUCCCUCCUCCACAUCAUGAAGAACAAAUUGAGUACUCGGAAAAUAACCCAGUUUCUUUAUUCUACUAGCCAAUCGGUCUAGUUCCUCAUAGAUCUCCCAUGCCUUCGGAUGUGAAGCAUCGCCUGUUGGAAAAAGUUUAGAAUACAUAAAAAAAAAAAAAUUUAUUGAAAAUACAUUACGAAGGAUUAGAAAAUAGAAAAACAAAUGUAUGAGGCGUGCAAGUACUGUCCUUAAGGAUAAUUCCGCCCCUCGGAGUACGAAACUUGGUGCGUAAUGCUUCAGUGGCUAUCGUCCCAAGAUACAACAGACAUUCAUCUAUACUCCGCACUGAAUAUUAGAAGGAAACAUAACAACUUUUAUGUAUAACCCAGCUGAAAGGAAAUGAAAGAUAUAUGAGAAUAUAUUGUGUCUUUAUGAGAUCUUAUUUUUAUAUUUAGACAAAAUAGAGCCGUUAAAAGAGCCGUUGUAAAAUAAUGGAUGAUUUAUUUGAGAAAUAAAUUAAACGUUACAAAACGAUUUAAAAAGCCAUUAUAUGACCAUUAAGAAACCGUUAUGUGACCGUUAAAAAUAAUGAUGAUUUUCAAUGCGAUCAUAACUUUUAUCGAAGCUAUUAUUGUAAAUAUUUCAAAACUGCUGAAAUAUCCAACAAUCCCCCACAUAUUUCAGAAAGUUUUGACAAGAAAAUAAAAUAAUGCUGGGUUAUUGGAGAGUAAUGUAUCGGAAUUGGUGCUUGUUAGGUUAUGAACCAACCCUAGAAAGAAUGAAAUAUAAUUAAUGAAAUCAUUAGUGAAGUUUGAAACUUCUAUGAACUAAAAAUUUCUUUUGUGAAUUAUAAUUUUCAUCAAUCACAUUAUACUCCCACAAACUUUGUUGUUCAACGCGGUUUUGCGCUAAUAGGCCAUGCGCAUGCUUGGUUUAUUCAUAAGUGCUUCAGAGAUUUUCGCCAAAAAAUCUCAUAAGAGCGGCCCCACUCCACACUUAUAUAGGUGAUUCCAUCAAGUGUAUUAUGCAGUUUAAUACACCAUCAAUAAUGGCUAUGGAAUUUCAUUAAGAACUUAGCUCAACCUCUUUUUCCUUGUAAUUUUGCACUAUUUUCACUUUAGAAUGGACAAUAAAUUUUAAUAGUGCACUAAAUCAAUAAAUGACUUGUUAUUACCAAUAUGAACCUAAUUCAUGGGAUCGCCAAUCACAUAAGUUAGGUUACCAUCACUGUUGAUUUUCUUCAAUUGGCUUGUCCCAUUCCCUUCGAUGUAUAGUCAAAUGAUUGGCCAAAUCAUUUCUGACUUAAUAUAAUCGAUUGAUAUAAAUCCCUUUUAUAAGGAAUUAUUUUAUCACAUCACGUUUCAACCAAACGUCUCUUUUUGCCAUUGAAAGUUUCAUUCUUUGCAAUAGCUAUUGCCUUUUGGCAAUCAUAAUGUCUAGACAUAAGUGUUAUUUCAUUUCCAUAGGAACAUACAGUAAGAAAUUUCUCAACUACUCAGCCUCAAUUUUAAUGAGUUUGAGAAAUUUUUCUUCUUCCCAAGAACUUGAGUAGUUCUUCAAUCAUCAAGAUAAAUAUUUUCUUCUCCUUCCUUACUAGAGGUUAGGAGGAUAAAGCAUUAUGUUUUUAACAUAUAUGCUUGGUAGUACCUAAGUCUGUCUCAAAUUCUUUUGCAUUUGCCAAAAUAUUGGCUUGGAAAAUGACUACAACAAUUACAUCAUUAGAUCAUCUACUUCAACCAAGUCAAAUUUUGGUUGAGCAGGAUUGUCAUUUCCCCCACAAUUUCAUUUGACUGCUUUUUAUGUUGCGACACCUCCACAAGGUGGACACAUAUUCAUUUGUGGAUUUUGUCUCAUAUGAAUCCGAGAUCCACUUAACAUCACUGUAUUAUUCUAAUACAGUGAAAAAUCCACUAUGUAAAAAUGUCAUAGUUUUAUAUUCACAUGGCCGCAAAAUCCAUAAAAAUUCUAUUGUUGUGAAAAUUGAUCUCACCUGAGAUGUUCAUUGGUUGUCGUGGAGUCUUUGACUUCUGUCUCUUCACGCUGAUCUCUACUCAAAUCAGCCAGACAUACAAGUUCGUUGAUGAUGGCAUAUUCAUUCAAAGAAAAUUUUGCACUAGGAGCUGCUCUUAUUCUAAUAAAAAGAAGCUUGAAGAAGUGAGUAUUUGUAAGGACAAAUUUGGCCUCCACCAAACCCAAUACCAAGCACUUGUCAACACUAAAUGGUAUAUCAACGAUAGAAAAUUUGUUGCUUUGCUAAAACAUUUAUAAAAGUAGCAUUAUGAAAUCAUCAUAAAUCCCAUUUGCAAGUGUUGAAUCCUCAUCAGCAAUGUUACAUACACAUGUAGGAGCACAAAAACACUAAUUAACGCUCGACUCUAAAUCCUACCACAAAAAGUCCUAUCUUAAGAUCGAUGACAAGAUGAUUACCACUCUUAACGCAAGUGAAACUAUUCACACCAAAAAAAAAAGAAUAAAAUAGUUCACAUUUUAGAAAGGAACAUUAGCUACAAUCCUUGAGAUUGGCUAUGCAUUGAACGUUAUUUACUGUCCUUGACCCACAUAUUAGAUAAUGGAAAGUAAGCAGUACGCAAUGGGUCAAAUGAAGCAAAGGAUAUCUAAAGUUAUUAUAAGAUAUACAAUUACCUUGGUCUUGCGCUACCAUAAGAGUGAUCUUGCGCUACCAUAAGAGUGAUGGCUCUUUAAUACGAAUAUCAUAAAAUCUUCUAUUUCAGUUUAAAUUUUUACCUGCAGCUUCUAGAAGGUAACAAAAUAAGGUGACAAUAAGUUUUUAACAAAUCUUGAAUGUCACUAAUAGUGUCCUGUCUCCUAGAUAAGUUCUCAUCAUGCUCUGUUAAAGAGGCAAUAAAAUGUCACAAAUUAAAAUGAUACAUGAAAAUACCACCACUUUCACUUUACAAGCACUAGACUAAAAAUGAACUGGCUAAAUCUCUUCCACUGGCACUCAGAGUUUAUUCAAAAUCUCAAACUGAGAAAGAAACAACUACCGGCAUGCAUCCAUCAAUGGUGCUCAUCCAAUAUCCCUAAAAUAUAAAGCAGGGCAAAGACAAAAUGCAAAAAUAUAUAUAGCUUGAUUUCGUAUGUUGUACCUCCUCUAUUUUUAAUGAGCAUAAAGAAGGCCAAUAUGAGACUCAUAAUUUUCAGCUUGCAUUAUUAACAAUUGCACCAGAUAGAAAGGUCAAAGCCAAGCAAUAGUCAAAAUAAAACCUACUAAUAUAACAGUUCAAAGUUAAAUCAAAUACACCACCCAAUCACAAUCACUAUUGCUCUCUUCUAAUGGAAGAGCAACUGACGCCUUAAUGAAUUUUCCAAAAAAUUAAACAACAAGAAGAACAUGGUUCUACUAACAACAACAUCAUUGCAGUGGUUCUCAAGCUUGGAGACAUACUUCUUGUCCUAUCAACACAAAAAUUCCUUGAUGGAUACUAGAAGUCAUUAACAUUCAGAUGGUAAGAAUUUGAAACCAUUUUGUAAAGUAAAAUUUACUCACAAAAAUCCAAAGUUUCCAUUUUUUUUCUUUUUCAUUUCUAAAAUAUGAAAUGGGUCACUACAUAAUGGUUAAUAUCAAGCGGUCAACCAAUUAAAACAAUAGGAACAAUCUCUAAUCCUAAAAUUACAACUUCCAAAUCAUGAACAGAAUUAAAAUAGGAAACCCCAAUGCGGAUUGAAGCUUACGAAUAAUCACAAAUUUGAGUGAGCAAAUAAUUACAAGCACCCAACUUCCUCUCGAAACAAAUUUAGGUAUUAAAGCCUCAAAGUACGAUUUUACCUUACAUUCAAUAACCUUACCAAAACGACCAAGAAACCUUUGACGAUGCUCAGUAAUUUCCCACAACAUCUGCCCAUGAAUAUGUGAUACUUGUACUUCACCAUCUCGAUCAGUCUUUCAAUUCCAAUUGCGGUGGUGGCGACAGCAACAACUUCAACUUGGAAAUCCAUAGGACUUAUCCUUAAGAUUGUUGGAACAAGAAGGAUUAGAAAAUAGAAAAACAAAUGUUUGAGGCGUGCAAGCACUGUCCUUAAGGAUAAUUCCGCCCCUCGGAGUACGAAACUCGGUGCAUAAGGCUUCAGCGGCACUGAAUAUUAGAAAGAAACAUAACAAUUUUUAUGUAUAACCCAGCUCAUAGGAAAUGAAAGAUAUAUGAGAAUAUAUUGUGUCUUAUGAGAUCUUAUUUUUAUAUUUAAACAAAAUAGAGCUGUUAAAAGAGCCGUUGUAAAAUAAUGGAGGAUUUAUUUGAGAAAUAAAUUAAAUGUUACAAAACAAUUUAAAAAGCCAUUAUAUGACCGUUAAGAAACCGUUAUGUGACCGUUAAAAAUAAUGAUGGUCUUCAAUACGGUCAUAACUUUUAUCGAAGCUAUUAUUGUAAAUAUUUCAAAACUGCUGAAAUAUCCAACAGUGAAAUAUCCAACAUCACCCACAUAGAACUUGUGAACUGUAUUUUUCACUUCAAUCCAGCUACAACCAGCUUCUUUUGUAAGAUCUUUCAGUUUCAUCUUCUUUCUGAUUGCUGCAGCAUCUUCCCAUAGACCAGCCGAGGCAUAAAUAUUUUAUAGCAAAAUAUAAGUCGCAGUGUCAUCUGGUUCUUGCUCAAAAAUCAUUGCUGCAGCUUGUUUUGCAAGUUCAACAUUGCCAUGAACUCGGCAAGCUCCGAGAAAUGUACGCCAGACAAGUGUAUCAGCCCGGAAAGGCAUUGAAUUUAUAAACUGAAGGGCUUCGACAAGGGAUCCUGAUCUGCCCAAUAAGUCCACCAUACAUGCAUAGUGUUCGGUUCUAGGCACGAUUCCAUGUUCUGUGUACAUUGACCUAAAGUGUUUCCAUCCAUCAGAUAUCAAACCCACAUGACUACAAGAGGAUAAAACAGCAACAUAGGUGAUCUCAUUUGGCCUCACACCAGCAUCAAGCAUUUGAUGGAAUGUGUCUAGAGCUCUCAUCCCAAAUCCAAGCUUUGCAAAACCAGUAAUCAUUGAAGUCCAAGUUAUGACAUUUUUCUCUCUUGUCCCACUGAAAACUCGAAAAGCAGCUUCUAUGUUUCCACACCUGGAAUACAUAGAGAUCAAAGCAUUGGAAAUGCACUGAUUUGAGUCAAGCCCUGAUUUUACCAUCCUCGCAUGGAUUUGCUCCCCCUUACCAAUAGCGCCAACGCAGGCAACUCCACUCAAAAGGCUGGCAAAUGUAAAAGCACUUGUUCCGAUCCCUCUCUCCUCAAUCUCAUGUAGUAGUUCAAAGGCUUCAUCGGACUCCAAACUUUUGGCAUAGGCAUCUACAAGGGUAUUAUAAGAAACCAGAUUCUUUUCAAAUAGUGCAUCAAAAGCUCUCUGAGCGUCUUCCAUGUGGCCCGACCGGGAAUACAUGCUGACAAGAGAAUUACCCACGCAAGUAUCACAGGCAAAGCCCAAUUUUAUAGCUAGUGCAUAUAUUUGUAUCCCCAUAUCUACAUCACAAAUAUUUCCACAUGCCUUGAGAACACCAGCAAAUGCGAAAUCGUUUGGCCUCACGGGACCUUUUGUCAUUUCCCAAAAGAGCUUGAUAGCCUCCUCAUUCUCUUCCGCCCGUGCAUAUCCUGUGAUUAUCGCCGUCCAAGACAUUACAUUGUGAUCUUGCAUCUGAUCAAACACCUUUCUCGAAUCAUGAAGCGAUCCACCAUCUACAGACUUGACAUACAUGUCCAGCAAACUGCAUCCAACACAGACAUCCGAAGCCAAUCCAGACCGUAUAACCCAGGAAUGCAAUUGUACCCCGAGCGAUAGUAACUCCAACUCUGAACAUGCAGACAAAACAGCCGUGAGUGUAAAUCUAUCUGGCACAGGCCCACUCACCAGCAUAUCCAAAAACAAAUCAACAGCUUUCUUUGGACUACCCAACUGAGUACAUCUCGUCAUCAUCAAAGUCCAAGCAACCACAUUCCUCUCGGGCAUUUUCUCAAACACCUUACGAGCUGAAACCAAAUCAGCACUACCCUUUGCAAACAUGUCAAUCAAUGCACACCCAACACACACAUCAGAAUCAAGAUAGCCGCUUUUGAUAAUAAACCCGAAAACCGUAUCGCCAAUAGAUGCACUCUCCGGGACCGAGCAAGCCCGAGCAACCGCCGCGAAACAAUAAUCAUUAGGGAAAAACCCAUCCUCGAGCAUAUGAACGAACGUAUCCACCGCUUCAAACUCCAUGUGAUUAUUGGCAUAGCAGGAGAUCAUGGAACUCCAAGAAACCAUGUCCCUCUUAUCGCCCAUGUCCCCAAAAACCCUCUCCGCCUCAGCCCAGUCGUUGGAUUUCGAGUAGAGACUGAUGAGCGAGUUGAGGAUCACCGAGUCGGGCUCGAGCCCGGACCGGGCGAGCGCGCGGUGGACGCGCCUCCCCAGCGCGAACGCGCGGGAGCGGAUGCAUGACUUGAGGAGGAGCGACAAGGUGAGGACGUCGGGGUGGGACCCGUCGCGGGACGCGAGCUCGAGUCACUAGAUAGCUCCGCGGAGGUCGCCGCCAUCGAGGCGGGCGACGAGGCGGCGGCCGUCGAGGGGCGAGGGGGGAAGGUUUUGGCGGGAAGGAGAGAGCUUGACGGUGGACGGUGGAGGGAAGAGAGAGAAAUUCAUUGCUCCAUGCAAGACCAGCAUGGCCUGCUACAUCAAGAAAUGAAAAUAGAUAGGUUCAUGAAUUACAUGGUCAAUUAUGCUUUUGAUUGAACUACUUUUAUUUUGCAUUACUUCUUACCUGAGAAAAGAUAAUCAAACGAUGGACGAUCUCGUAAUUUUAUUGUUAUACAUAAGUUAUCGGGACACUUAAUGUAUUUAAGAACGAUUCAAGUUCUGUUUGAGUGUUCACAUCAUCAACUCGUUUCUCGAAUGAAUACAAAAGAGGGUAGAUACUUUAUUAAUAUCUUCUUCAAACAUGUCUAGGGACUCUUUUUUAGGGGUGAUUAGUUCCUAACACUUUAUUAAUAUAUCCUUCAAACAUGUCUAGGGACCCUUUUUAAGGGGUGAUUAGUUCCUGAUUCAGUUCGAUUUCGAUGCGGAAUCAGAAAUCCAUUUGUAAUAUUAGAAAAGUAGUCGGGAAAUAGAUUUGGAACAAAAAUAAAAAAGUAAAAAAAAAAUAACUUCUUGUUCUCGGGAACAAUUUCUAGAAAUAAGUUUGUUUUCUUUUCUUUUUCUUUUCUUUUCUUCUUUUCUUCUUAUUCGUUGGCGACCACACCCUUUGCCGCUUGUCGUCGGCUGACUGCCGUUGCUGCCACCGCCAUCUAUCACCACCCACCACUAAUGACCGCCGAUGACGCCACCCACCAGCUAGCUAACAAACUACAGUCACCAUUAUGGCAUUGAAAUUUUUUCCAAUCUAGAAACUUGAAUAAUAUUUAACUCUUGCCAUUAGCAAAUUGACAAAUUAGCCAAAGGAAAAAUGGCAAAUGUACACUUAAGAAAUAAUUUGAAUUUCAUGAACAGAUCAAACUGCAUACUUGGUCCAAAGCAAACGAUCAAAUCGCAUUGUUUCCUUCUUAUGUCCGAAACAAACAGAAGCUUUUGAGAAUGCUCAUGCAUUGCUACCAUUAAACGAAGAUUUAUAUGCUAAUCCCUACUGGGGACAACCACUAUAAAUAGUGAAGACUUGAGCCUCUCUCGAGAUGCAAAAUAGGAGUGAGCACAAAAAUUAAGUAAAGGAUAUCAAGUUAAGGAUGCUCCUUCAAGAGUUGCAGUUAUGCUAGUUGGGUCCCUUUUAAUGUUCUAUAUUGUUCAAGGUGCUCCGAACACUAACAUAACUUAUAGGGGCCGCAAUGGUGGUACCUAUUCGAGCAACGACCCUAAUGCAGACAGCGUGGCUUAUGUCCUCGCUGACAUGGCGACUGUCACACCAAAUCAUGCAAAUUACGACUACUACACCGCGUCUCCUUAUCCCACGGCAGCUGCCUAUGGUCAUGCCCCCUGUAACCCGGCACUUUCUUUCAGCGAUUGCGGUAUAUGUGUUAGCGCUGCUAAGGCUCGAAUAUUGGCAGACUGUCCAAACAUUUUUCGGCAUCGAUAUGGUGUGAAGAUUGCAGUAUGAAGUAUGAAAACUAUUUAUUUACUGAUUAAAUAGUUCGCCGCCAAACCAGAGAGCCGUGUUCUAUUGUAUGCGGUUGUUUCUGCCGCACAUGUUGCCAUGUUUGUUUUUGCAAGAAAUGACAUCCUAGAAGAUAUGCUUUCUUUGUCAAUUUAAAGUUCUCAAAAUAAUACUUAUUUAUUAUGAUGAAAAAACCUAACAAAAUAUCUAUAAGCUAAUGACUAGUGUGAAAAUGUGCCGUGUAUCUAAUCCAUUCUUACGUUCAUUAGAUUUGUUAUUACGAUCCAAAAGUAUGCAAUUACUAUAUGCUGUGUAUCUUCCCCUUAUUCCAACUACCUACAUUUAUCACAAGAGUAUGCAAUUACUAUAUGCCCAUUUCCAAAAGUUCUAUAGAAUAAUCGAGAAAGCCCUUGUCUCUGGAGAUAAUCAAGGAUUGCUCGUUCAUGGACAGAAACCUUUUAGAUCGUAUCACUUCCUUGGACCAUAACACAUGUGCCUUACUUCACUUUACACCAUCUGAUAAUCUUAUUAUUUCUUAAUUUGGCACACCCAUCUUAUUAUGAAGAAAAGAUGCAAGAGACCACAUUUUGGUAUAAUCAAAAACACGCGAUGUACCUGACUAGCUUUCCACGUAGUCGAAUAUUCCAGCUUGAUUGCAAUUAUUAGGAUCAAUAGUGGAAGAUAAAGCACUAUCUACAAAAAUGGGAAGAAAAAUGUUUUGGGCAAGAUUUUGUGCUCUGGAGGAGAAGAAGCACCACCAAAUUGUGAAGGUAAUUGAAAAAAACUCUAAACCCACUGCAUUUUAAGCAAUUCAGUCAUAAAUCUUUUAAUUUUACCAAUUGACUUCUAAUUUUUUUUUUCACUUAUCAGCAGUUGAUUCUAUUCUGCCAAUUUUGGCCAAAAAUUACUAACAUAGACGGCUGGGUUGACGUGACAUUUUUUAAAUAAUAUUUUAAUAAUAUUUUGAAGGUCGAGGCGAGGGCGGGCAACCCUCACCUCUGGUAGGCCCUCGUCUAAGCUUCGGUGACCUAGUCGGCCUUUGCUGCCGUCCCAUUGGCAAUGGGGGGCGGUAGCCACAGGGGAGAAUAAGCACCCUCUCCCUCUCACUUCUGUUUUCCUUUUUCUAAAAGUUUUUUUUCUAAAGAAAAAAGGAAAAAAAUUUAAAAAAUUUAAAAAAACAAAAUUGUCAUAUAUAGACUCUUCUUUGAGACUAAUAUUGGCAUUUCAAGCACUUAUUUGAGACAAUGAAUGCACUUCGGCCCCUUAUUUAAAAUAAAAUUCACUUUAAACUCUUAUUUGAGAAAAUAAAGGCACUUGAGGCCAUUAUUUGGAAUUUUCUCAAAAAACAAAAUUAAAAAAAAAAUUAAGAAGAAUAAAGUAAAUGGCUAAUGAUUUUCCUCACAAGAUUUUCAAAUUUCCAGUAUGAUAAUUUAUUUGCUCUGAAGGAAUAAAAGUUUCUUAGGGCAAAAAUUGCUAGAAAAAUAAGCAUCACCUUUUAAAGAAGGACAAAAGGAUCACAUUCUCCUUGCUCGAGGAACUCUUGAGCAAGAUGACCCAAAAUGCAUAUCAUUCUCAUCUUAAUUUAACCUUCAUGACUUAGCCUUCAUACGUAAGGAUUCAACUGACUGCCAUGGAAACACUGAAGUUGAGAGAACAUGUGACAUUUCAACGUCCAACACACUACACAAUCAUUUUGUGCGGAAAAAUUCUACAAUUAGUCAUAAACCUCUAGCACAUAAAUCAAUUGAGUCUUAAACCUUUCAAUUGAAAUAAUAGAAUCCUAAAAUUUUGUGGGAAAAUGCAAUCAAGUCCUCUCAUCCAAGUCUUGUUUGAUUUAUCUAAUGUGGCAAUCCAGUAAUCGCCAUCUAUCCUAUGUAAUGUUUCUAUCCUAUGUAAUGGCGACGACAUGACGUGGUCUAUUUUCAUCGAGAUGACGUCGCUUUCAAACUUACUGGUCAUCAUCUUUUAGCUUGCAUUCGCUUGGCUAGAGCUCCUCUGGUGCUCGUCCAUUGCUGUCCACUACUGCUUGGACCUUCGACGGUGUGCUGCCACCACUAUCGACCUAGAGGUGUGAAUCAAAUUCUAUGCAUUAAUAGUUCCUCAUAGCAACCAAUCUAAGGAUAGAAAGAAACCAACCACAAAACCCAACUCAAGACAUCUCACAGAAUAAGGUGGCACGAUUGUAAUGCACCAAUGGCUUAGUAUCGAAUGCCAACUAAGCCUCAAAAUUGCAAAAUUCGAUUAGUGCAAUUCCAUAGUAAAACAUUGCCCAUGGAGGCAUGUUGCUUUAUGAUAAGUACUAUCCUCUCAAACAAGGAACUUCCAUUUAGGAAGAAAACAAUCCUAUACAUUGCUUGCUUGCAUUAAGCUAUCCAUUGAGUUUGUGACUAUGUAACGCAAGCUGUUUGGCUGUGCUCUUACAAUAAUGUCUUGAUGCCUGGUGUAUUCCUUCGUUGAUGGCCCACAGCGUGAAUCUAUUUUGAAAAUGAUGUUCCCUUAAUGACUGUACUCUCAAUUCUUGCAAAGAUUGAAGGUUUCAAGGCCUCUAGUUGAUAUCGAUAUCUAACACUAAAGGAUCAAUCUGAGGUGAGUCGACAUAAUUUACAGUAAAGGAUACACCAUGCCCGCGACUUUCCAGCAAAAGAAAUCAUAAAGCUUCUUUUGAAACUGAAGCCUGAUGAUGCACUUGCACAUGGUUCUAGUCAGCGAAGAAUCUCGAAAAGUGAAAUUAAAACCAUCAUCGCAAAAACAGUGGCUUUGCUUCAGUGGGUAAGCCCAUAGACCAGCUUUUGUAAACAAGAAAAUGGACAACAGAGAGCUGAGUUGAUCCAAUUGUUAUAUAUGCAGAACUUCGAAUUGAUCCUUUUGCUCGAAAGGUUCUUUCUUCUGAGUUCAAUCGAUCAUAUCGGCCAUGAUAUCCACACGUGAACUUUGCUAGAAGAGCGUUCUCUGGAAUGCUUCCAUGCUACUAUGAUUAUGUGAGGAAACAAAGAGGAGUGGGCGUGACAAGAGGAAGACUGUCCAAGCAAUCCUGCUGCCUUAAGCGAAACAUGCGAAAACAAACAGAAAAAUCAGUAAUUGAAACAGAUAAAAAAGGCAAGAAAUGAGCCUCCGUUGAGAGGCAACCCUAUUUAUUGGGAAAGUAAACCAAUUGAUAGAGUGGAAAUGACAAUGGAAAGGUAAAUCAUACGGGCCUGACUGUGAUGAAUUUGGUUGGUGUCGCUCAAGACGUCUAUGUGGUUUGGCAUCUGUCAAUGGUAUUCACCCAUCAGCAGAGGCUUUUCUGAAAAUCCCUCACAGUGCAAAGGAAAAGAUACUGCAAGUAGUUUUCAUACACUUGCUGCCACGUCCCUUAGUCAACAAGAAGCAGAGCAGAUAACCCAAACGUGUAAUCUACCUUAGAUGAUAAUCUGAGUAACUAGCUCGCCACAAAUAUUCUCCCCUAUUAAUGCAAAGUGCACAUCACCAUGAUCAGGUACCAUCCACUUCCACUUAUGCAUCUUCUUUGAAGUAACUACAGGACAUUGAAGGGAUCAGAUUGUCAGGAAAAGAGUAUAAAAGAAAACUAGUAUAUCUCUCUCCAGCACAUAAGUAACAAGCUAAUCUGGAUUUAUGGUAUAAUUUUUUGAACCCAACGCCCCCCCCCCCCCCCCCCCAAUCGAAAAAGGCUGACUCCCCCCCCCCCCCCCCCCCCCAAAAAAAAAAAAAAUUAUAUAUAUAGGUCCCUGAUAUUGGUGCAUAACGUCUGCAUUGCAGAUCUUUGGUACAAAGUAAAUGUAUUGCCAUUAACAUCAACUUAACUCAAGAGCAUCCUGACACCAUACAAAGUAAAUAUAUAGGUCCCCGAUAUUUUCUUGCACGCUACUAUUAUUAUAUUUGUGUCAAGACACAAAGAGUAGAGGGGGUAACAAGACUCUCCAGGCAAAUCCUGCAGUUGUGAGUGGAACAUGCAAAAACAAACCAAAACAUUUGUUUGUCUGAUGAUAAAACAGAAAACUGGCAAUGAAUUUACCUCUAUAGAGAGCGAAAGAAAGUUAAAUCCUAUGAGCCUGUUUGUAAUGAAGUUGAUUGGUGCCACUCCAGAUGUCAAUGUGGUUUGGCAAGCAAUGUCUGUCAGAGGCAUUCAUGUUCACGCAUCAACAGAUGCUUUUUGGAAAAUCCCUUGCAGUGCAAAGGAAAAGAUACUGAAAGUUGUUUCCAUACAGUUGCAGCUAUGUUCCUUAGUCAGCAAGCCGUCCAUCAAACUUUGCUGUGAGAAGCAGAGCAAAUAACCCAAAUAUGUAAUCAACCUGCAUGACAAUCUGAGUACCCAGCCCGCCACAAGUAUUCACUGUUAUUGAUUCAAAGUGCCCAUCACCAUGAUCAUAUACCAUCCACUUCCACCCAUGCAUCUUCUUUGAAGAACUAUGGCAAAUAAGACAUUGAAGGGAUCAGAGGUGUUAGGAAAAGAAAAUAAAAGAAAACCAGUAUCUCUCUCUCAAAGCACAUACAUUACACCCUGAAAAAAAAAGAAAAAAAAGUAGUUUUCUUUAGUCCCAUUGAGGAAGAGGUCCAUGAUACUUGUCUAUAAUGUCUGAAUUGCAUAUAGUACACAGUAAAGUUAUGCUAUUAACAUUGAUUUAAUUUGAGAACAUCCUCACACCAAUUGAUCAUUCAUAUGAAUUUGACCUGUUUGAUAAAUAGUAGGCACCAGAAGCACUAACCCACAAGUACAUCUACCAGUUAAAUACAGAUUUCUUGCAAAACCUAGGCAUACGAAAAGCAAAAUCAACCUUUCCCCCCUCCAAAAGCCUGAUAAUCAAGCAAGAGGAAAAAUCUCCCAGACUUAAAACAACUUCAUUAACGGGACAUGGGACUCAAGGAGGUGAUGUCUGGAAGAAAACCUGCUGUUAAUCUGGCUUACUCUCCAUCAAAUUUUAGAUGAAAAAGUGGACAGAUCUCACACACAAUGGAGAAAUGAAGGAGCUCCAUUUGUCAAGAGAAAUUUAACCCACAACUCCAUUGUUGCUAAGUCUGCAGAAAAACCCCUUUCAACCAUUUCACCAACAAGUUGCGCUGCUCUCGUAUUUUCGUUAUCUCUUAGUAGUCCUUGGAUGAUUGUGUUAUAAGCGACACCAUCCGGAAGGCAUCCAUUUCCUUGCAUCUCCUUUAGCAGCUGAUAUGCUUCCUCUGUGCGUCCUCCUUUGCACAAUCCACGCAUGACAAUACUAUACGUCCACACGUUAGGUUGCAACCCUCGAGCAUGCAAACAAUCAAACAGCCCUAUUGCAUCGUCGAGCUUUCCGGCAUUACACAUGCCAUUUAUUAGGAUACUGUAAGUCACGAUGUUAGGGAUGAUUUUGGAAUCUUCCAUCUUUUGAAGCAAUAUCAUGGCCUUGUCAAUCUGCUGCGCUUUACACAAGCCAUUGAGGAAAGCACCCAAGGUAUAAUGAUUUGGGGAGAGAUCGCGAGAAUGCAUCUCAUUAAUUAGCUCCGCUGCGGCUUCAAGGUUCCCAACCUUGCAAAAUCCGUCCACGAGAGUGUUGUAUGUGAUGACAUCAGGAAUCAGGCCCCUUUGAAGCAUUUCUUGGAAAAACAUCUUUGACUUGUCCAUUCUUUUCGCUUUGCAGUAUCCGUUAAUCAACGUGUUAUAAGUAACAACAGUAGGUGAGCAGCCUCUUUCAACCAUCAAAUUAAGCACUUCCAUUGCAUCUUUCAUCCUAUUUUGCAAACAAUAACCAUUCAUCAAUGUACUGUAGAUGAAAAUAUCAGGCACUUUACCUAAUUGAAUCAUCUGGUCGACUACGGCCUCUGCCUCUACAAGCAAUCCCUCUUUACAAUGUGCAUCCACCAGGAUACCGAAGGUUAGAACGUCAGGCAUGACUCUGCUUUGCACCAUACGACUCAGCAGUCUUCGGGCCUCUUCCAAAUGGCCGGAAUUGCAAACUCCUUGAAUGACGGAGGUAUAAGUAACGACGUCCGGUUCGAUUCCUGCGUUCAUCAUCUUCUCCAACAAGACCAUAGCAUCUUUCCAUUGGCCUCGGUUGCAUAAGCAAUGAACCAAGGAGCUAUAAGUGAAUAUGCUGGGUUGGAUGCCUCCGCUCGUCAUCUGUUUCAACAAUACGAGAGCACCUUCCAUCUGGCCUACAUCGCACAUACUGUGGAUCAAGGAAUUAUAAGUAACAACAUCUGGUUCAACGCCUUUCUUGCUCAUAAUGCCGUGGAGUCUCAAUGCCUCUGUGAUGAAUCCCUUCUUGCAAAGACUAUCUAUUAUUAUGCCGUAUGCGAAGGAAUUGAGCCUGCAGCCUCUCUCUUCCCAGUCCCUCAGCAAUUCAAUCGCCAAUCUAGUGUUACCCACCCUGCAUAAACCCUUUGCGAUUAUGGCAUACGUGGUCUCAUCAGGUUCGGGGCCAUUUCGUCCCAUAUCAUCGAGGAACCUCAGUGCUUGAUCAGUUUUGCCCUGAAUAAAGAGACCAUCAAUUAAGGUACUCGAUGCCACCACAUCGAUGGGAAACCCAAGCUUCAAGAUUCUGCCCAGGAUAGACAAACCCAAAUCGACCCGCUGUAACCGACAGAAGCAAUUCAACGAAAUAUUCAGCCAAAUAUGAUUAUCUUCAACUCCUAACGAACGCAGCUGCUCAAUCAAGCGGAUGGCAGUGGAGUAGUGCUUCAUCCUCACUACAGCACCCAACAGAAGACUGAAAUCCCGGGGGGAAGGCAAAGGGUCCGUCUUCAUCAAUGCACCGAAGCAACGCUGGGCAUCGCCGACGCUCGAAAACACACCACCAUUCCUGCAAAUUUUCCUCGCGUGACUCAAGACCUCGCUUGGGUCAUCUAAAUUAAGGUUAGGGGUCGAGGAAAACCGACGACGACGACGACGACGGCGAGACGAGAGAGGGAGGAUGGAAGGGGAUGAUGGCUGGCUGGAGAUCGCAUGAAGAAGGAGGAAGAUGGAAGAAGCAGGGCGGCGGAGACUCGUCGGCUUCAUUGCUCUGGGGCCUCUCUCUCUCUCUCUCUCUCGAACCACGAGAGUUUCUCCCAAUGCGACGGUAGUAGCUGAAAAAUUACAGGGGAAAAUAUGGAAUUCAAUUUAUUUGAAAAUAGAUAACACAACCGAUGGUCCGUGAAUUUUACUAAUUUGGAGUCUUUUAUUCAAAACAAGGAUCGCAUUGACAUUAAAAAAGAAAUAAUUUAAAGACCCAAUUUGAGCUACUUUAAAGUUCAUGGAUGACUUCAUACAUUAGACAUAGUUGAAAAACCUAACUACACCUAUUAAAAUUUUUGGGAAGACAUGGACAUUCUGCAUAUUGAACAAAAAUCCAUGGAGCUAUUAGUGUCAUUGUCACAAUACGAGAAUAAUCCUACUAGCAAUUACGUACCCUUUUCAUUUAUCUUUUAUUAAAAUAUUUGGUCAAUUAAUCAAAUAAAGUAGCUAAAAAAACUUCAGGAGAAAGGAAAAUGAGAGAAAUCGCUUCUCAUCAUCUCCAUUGACUUUUUAACACUAAGCAACUUUAAGAUAAAAUUCAAAAUAAAAGCCUAGCGUGCCUUUAUUUUCUCAAAUAAAGUCCGAAGUAAACCUUGUUUCAAACAACAACACGAAGUGCAAUCAUUUUUUCAAGUAAGCACUCAAAGUAGAUCUUAUUUCAAACAAUGGCCUGAAAUAAUUAUAUCUAUUUCAAGGCCUAAUAUUCCGACUAGUCAAGAGCAUUUUGGUCAUUUAUCUUUUUUAUUGAAUAUUUUCCUUUCUUCUUUCUUUUUCCCGUUUUCCUUUACUUUUUUCUAGUUUUUCUUUCUUCAUUGCCGCCGAUGGCCAUCGAUGAUGCUGGAAAGGGUUGGGCAAGGAUUGCCCUUGCUCGCUGCUAGUAAGGGCCCCUCAUCGGCCACAAGUGAGGCCACCCUCACUAGAUUUAGCGAGGGUCGGCUUGACCUAGGGCGACGAGGGCCCAACGACCCUCACCAGCCACUAGCGCUAGGUAAGGUAGGCGAGAGUCACCUCACCCAAUCGCUAACAGCCGAUAAGGGUCGCCAAGCCCUCGUUGGCCCUAGGCAAGGCUAACCUUUGCCACAUUUGGCGAGGGUGGCCUUGAGCACAACCAACGAGGUUAGCAUAUCCCUUGCCAGCCCUUGCCAGCGGUCGAUAAGGGUGGCCAAGCUCUUGCCAGCCCUUACUAGCGACAACCCUUACCGACGGCCGCUCGCCAUCGUCACAUUAAAAAAAAAAAAAGUUAAACAAGGACAGAAAAAAAUAAUAAUAAUAAAUAAUCUAAAAUUAAAAUUGUAAUAGGACAAAAACACCCUUAAUUGGUCGAAAUGUUUAGUCUGCUGAAGCCGAAGACGGAUGAGGUCAAGCUUUUAUUUGAAACGACCAUAGCCACUUUAUGUCUUUAUUUAAAAUAAUCAUGAUCAUUUCAAGCAUUUAUUUGACACAAGAUUUACUUCGAGCCAUUUUUUGGAAUUUUCCCCAACUCUAAUGACUAAAAUAUCAGUAUUAUCUUGAAUAUACUUUCCUUGAAAAGACAGUCAAUAUUUUUAAUUUAAGGAUUUAUUUGUUUUAAGAAAAAUGAAAGACUUGAAAAACAUUUCUCUAAAAAAUGAUUGGUUAUGUUGCUCUAAAUAAUUAGCCAACAAAAAAUAUUUUCAUUAUCGAUAAUAAUUUGUGCCUGAACUUUAUUGUGGACGAUAAAAAUAUUUUUCGUUCAUAUAUUUUUGUUAGCAAUACAAUUGAUUAUAUUUAGAAAAAAAUAUUUUCUAAAUUGUGAUUUUUCACAAAACAAGCUAACCUAAGACUAAUCAAAUAAUUGAUUUGACUUGCAGUUCCAAUACGUUGGAAAAUACAAGUAAAUCUUAUAUAUUGAAAAAGUCUAUGCUGAUAAACAUGGCUGCUCAGUGCACGAAAUAAUGAACCCUGCACUUCCAAGAGGCCAACAUGUUGAUCCACAUGUUAUAACCCUGCUACAUUGAAGCGUAAUAGCUUGUUUUAUGGACAGCAAUGCUUACAUACACUAAGGGUGCAUUUGGAAAAACUUUUGGGGAAAGUCUUUAGGAAAAUGCAAAGGCCUUUUAAUGGUAUUUUUCAAAAUGCAAACUGUUUUUGGUAAAUUGUAAUUUAAAAGCCCUUGUGAAGUACCUUUGAGCAAAAUGGUGUUUGGAAGACAAAAGACUUUUGUGAAAAAAAAUAUUAUCAAAAAAUAAAAAUAAAAAAAAUGAAAACCGGCAAGGGCAGGCGGCAUCCGACGGCGACCCCCGGCAACCUUCGGCAACCCCGGAUCUAGGCCGGCGAGGUCGCGCGCGUCGCACGAUGCCGCCUCGACCUCCGAGAACCCCGAUUGGCCGUCGCGAGGCUACGCAACCCUUGCUUGAGGUUGGAGGACCUCGGCGAGGGCCGUGCUUGGGUCGUGCGACCUCGGCGAGGGUUGCGCCUGGGUCGUGCGACCCGAGCAACUACCGCCGAGGCCACCCUCGAUGGAGAAGAUGAACACUGAUUUGAGCAGCUACAGCUAGGGCCACCCUCGACGGAGAAGUUGAAUGGUGCUCCUCAUAAGGGCAAAAAAUGGAAAACAAAAAGUUCGUAAGGAUAAUUUCGGAAAUAUAUAUAUAUGAAUGAACAGUACCCCGAGCGGGCAUGCCGGAAAAGCCGAAAGCCCAAGGCAGGUCCUCCCCUGCCUUGGGCUUUCAGCCUUCACAAGGCUGGCCUUCUCCAAAGGGGGCUUCAAAUGUUUUUGCCAAACACCCCUACUUUAGCCCAAAGAUCUUUAGGGGCGCAAAGAUACUUGGCAAAGUGGUUGACAAACGGAGCCUAACUGUCCCUCCAGAAAGAACUUCAAAGUACUUGGGUCGGGUUUUUUGUGUUGACUGACUGCAAUGAAGUUGGUUGGUGUCGCUCAAGACUUCCAUGUGGUUUGGCAUUGGCCACUGGGAAUGUCUGUCAACAGCGUUCAUGUUCACCCAUCAGCAGAGGCUUUUCUGAAAAUCCCUAGCAGGGCAAAGGAAAAGUUACUGCAAGAAGUUUUCAUACACUUGCUGCCAUGUUACCUUGUCGGCAAGAAGCAGAGGAGAUAGUUUCCUUAUUAUUUGCCAUGUAAGAAACUAAGAGCAGAGGGCACGAUGAGAGGCAGACUGUCCAGGCAAACCUGCUGUUUUGAGUGGAACACACAAAAACAAACCAAAACAGUCUUCCUCAGUCAGUUAUUAAAACAGUAAAUUGGCAAUGAAUGUACUCUAUUGAGAGCGAAAGAAAGUUACAUCCUACAGGCCUGUCUGUAACGAAGUUGAUUGGCCCCAUUCAAGAUAUCCACGUGGUUUGGCAUUGGCAAUGUCUGUCAGCAGUAUUCAAGUUCACCCAUCGCUAGACACUUUUCAGAAAAUUCCCCGCAGAGCAAGGAAAAGAUACCUUAACUUGUUUCCAUAUACUUGCAGCCAUGUUCCUUAGUCAGCAAGCCAUCCCUCAAACUACGAUGUAAGAAGCAGAGAAAAUAACCCACAUAUGUAAUCGACCUGCGAUGAUAGUCUGAGUACCCAGCUCACCACACAUAUUCAUCACUAUUGAUUCAAACUGCCCAUCACCAUGAUCAUAUACCAUCCACUUCCACCUGUGCAUCUUCUUUAAGAACUACGGUAAAUAAGCCAUUACAUUACAUUAUCUCUCUCUCUCUCUCAAAGCACAUACAUUACACCCCAGGAAAGAACAUUGUUUUCUUUAGUUCCAUUUUGAGGAAGAGGCCCAAGAUAUUUGUGUAUAACGUCUGAAUUGCAUAUAGUACACAGUUAAGUUAUUGCUUUUAACAUCUAUUUAAUUCAAGAACAUCCUCACACCCCUUGAUCAUCUGUAUGAAUUUCACCUGUUGAUAUAUAUUAGGCACCAGAAGCACCAAUGAUGAGUCCAUGUACCAGUUAGAUACAGAGACUUAUUACAGAACCUAGGUAUCCAAUAAACAAACUUCACCUUCCACCCUUCCAAAAGCCUCGUAAUGAAGCAAGAGAGAGCAUCUCCCUGACUUAAAACAACUUCAUUAAUGGGACAUGGAACUCAAUGAGAUGAUGUGUGGAAGAAAACUUGCCGUCGAUCUGGUUUACUCUGCAUCACAUUUCAGCUGAAAAGGCAGACAGAUCUCACACACAAUGGAGAGUCCGACUGGAAGAAGAAGGAGAAGUAGUUCCAUUCGUCACAAGAUACUUAACCCACAACUCCAUCGUCCCUACAUUUGCAGAAAAACCCCUUUCGACCAUUUCUCCAACAAGUUGUGCUGCUCUCAUAUUUUCUUUAUUUCUUAGAAGCCCUUGGAUGAUGGUGUUAUAAGUGACACCAUCUGGAAUGCAUCCAUUUCCUUCCAUCUCCUUUAGCAGCUCAUAUGCUUCCUCCAUGCAUCCUCCUUUGCACAAUCCAUGCGUGACAAUAUUAUAUGUCUGCACAUCAGGUUGCAAGCCUCGAGCAUUCAAACAAUCAAACAACCCCUUAGCAUCGUCGAGCUUUCCAGCAUUACACAUGCCAUUCAUUAUAAUAUUGUAAGUCACAAUGUUUGGGACGAAUUUGGAACCUUCCAUCUUUCGAAGCAAUAUCAUGGCCUUGUCAAUCUGUUGCGUUUUACACAGGCCAUCCAGGAAAGAAUUCAAGGUAUAAUGAUCUAGAUACAGAUCGCGAGAUCGCAUCUCGUUAAUUAGCUCCCCCGCGGCUUCAAGGUUCCCAACCUGGCAAUAUCCAUUUAUGAGAGUGUUGUACGUGAUGACAUCAGGAUUCAAGCCCCUUUGAAGCAUUUCUUGGAAAAGCAUCUUUGACUUGUCAACUCUUUUCCCUUUGCAGUAUCCAUUAAUCAAUGUGUUAUAAGAAACGACAUUAGGUGAGCAGCCUCUUUCAACCAUCAAAUUAAGAACCGCCAUAGCAUCAUCCAUCCUAUUUUGCAAACAAUAACCAUUCAUCAAUGUACUAUAAGUGAAACUAUCAGGCAUUUUACCUAAUUGAAUCAUCUGGUUGAUUAUGGCCUCUGCUUCUACAAACAUUCCCUCUUUACAAUGUGCAUCCACCAGAAUAUUGAAGGUUUGAACAUUGGGCAUGACUCUGCUUUGCACCAUAUGACUCAGCAGUCUUUGGGCCUCUUUCAAUUGGCCGGAAUUGCACACUCCUUGAAUGACAGAGGUAUAAGUAACGACGUUCGGUUCAAUUCCUGACUUCAUCAUCUUCUCCAACAAGACUGUAGCAUCUUUCCAUUGGCCUAGCUUGCACAAGUAAUGAACCAAGGAGCUAUAAGUGAAUAUGUCGGGUUGGAUGCCUCCGCUUGUCAUCUCUUUCAACAAUAUGAGAGCAUCUUCCAUCUGACCUACAUCGCACAGACCAUGGAUCAAGGUGUUAUAAGUAACGACAUUUGGUUCGACGCCUUUCUUGCUCAUAAUGCCGUGGAGUCUCAACGCCUCUAUGAUGAAUCCCUUCUUGCAAAGACUAAAUAUUAUUAUGCUGUAUGCGAAGGAAUUGAUGCUGCAGCUUCUCUCUUCCCAGUCCCUUAGCAAUUCGAUCGCCAAUCUGGUGUUACCCAUCCUGCAUAACCCCUUGGCGAUUAUGGCAUACGUGGUCUCAUCAGGUUCGGGGCCAUUUCGUCCCAUAUCAUCGAGGAACCUCAAGGCUUGAUCAGUUUUGCCCUGAAUAAAGAGACCAUCAAUCAGGGUGUUCCACGUCACCACAUCGAUGUGAAACCCAAGCUUGAAGAUUCUGCCGAGAAUAGACAAGCCCAUAUCGACCCGCUUUAACCGGCAGAAGCAAUUUAUCCAAAUAUUGAGCAAGGCAACAUCACCCUCGAUCCCCAAAGAAGGCAGCUGCUCAAUCAAUCGGAUGACGGUCGAGUAGUGCUUCAUCCUCACUAUAGCGCCCAACAGUAGACUGAAAUCCCAGGGGGAAGGCAAAGGGCUCGCCUUUAUCAUUUUACCGAAGCAACACAGGGCAUCACCGACACUCGUAAACACACCACCACCACCACCACCAGCUCUGCAAUUUCUCCCCACGUAACUCAAGAAACAACUCGGGUCGUCUAAAUCAGGGUUAGGGGUCGAGGAAAACCUCCGACGACGGGGAGACGAGAAAGGGAGAUGGAGGAUGGAAUGGGAUGACGACUCGCUGGAGAUGGCAGCUGGAGCACGAAGAAGGAGGAAGAUGGAAGAAGCAGGGCAGAAAUUCGUUGGCUUCAUCGGUUGAUGAUGAAUCUGAAAACUGAAAAGCUUCUUCAGCUUAUGGCUCUCUUUCCAUCUCUCUCCCCGUCUCUCAUUAUCAAGCUUUUAUACAAUGAUUUCACAUCAUCAUUUAUUGACAAUACAAAUAUUUCUUAUAUCCAAUUUUUUAGAAAAAGUGAUACAAUUAAUCAUUUUCACCACAAAAUCAGAUUUUCAUUUUUCGUUAGUAGUGACUUGUGCGCACAAUUUUACUUUUCCUACAAGUAGGUGAGAUUUGCUGGAGCAUUGGACGGAUUGAUAAAUAGUGUGAUACCUUGAUGAUAAGCAUUUAACAAUAUAUUUCAAUCGGCUUAACUUGUAACUACGAUUGCGUAUGUUUGUACGGAUGAAUAGAUUAUAGCAUGUAAACACGGAAUUUAACUCAUUCUAUGUCCCGAUCCAACAAUUGAAGUUUGAUUUGACAAAUAUUUCUGACUCAAUCAUUCUUAAUUCCACUACAAGGCCUUGAGCAUUCUGCUUCAUAAACUGCAAUCCUUCUUAGAAAUAUAAUUGUUCAAGGAUUUAAACAAUAAUUCCAAAGAAGAUGAGAGAAAGAGAGAGAGCAUAAGUAGUGACAGGCUAUGACGUUAAAAUUUGACACACAAUCACAAGAAAAUAAAUUAAAAGAGAGAGAGAGAUUGAAACAUGAAAUUUAUCCUAGAUCGCUCCUAAACUAGGAGUACGUUCAACAAAUAACUCCACUAUAAUUAGCACAUUGCAUCUCUACGUUACAACUCUCAAUUACAAGAGAAAGAAAUCAUAUAUGCCUAGUAACUAUUCAUGGGCUUGAACCUAAAUUAUUAAUAAAAUAUGAACUCAAACUAUAAAAGCCCCAAAACUCCUCUAUGCCUUCCUAUUAAUUGGGAGUAUGAAUCACAUCCCCAACAUAUCAUAUAGUACAGAAAUUGUUGUCAGAGAGGCAAAGUGGCAAAAAAUAAGGAUGGAUUUGAGUGGGUCACGGAGUGAGAGAGAAGCAAUGGUGGGUGGCAAUGAAUACUCCGGUGGCAUAUGACGACACUCGGGCUAGUCAUUGGUGACUACGAUCGACGAGAGAGGUAGACAAGAACUAGAGGUCAAGAGGGGCAUCAAGCGUGAGUGAAUUAAUGGCAACGGGCUUACCCAAAUGAAAACCAAAAUGAGUUUACUUUCAUUAAGACUCUCCAAUUAGUACUAACUCAAACAUUUUUCCCAAAAGUCUUUUGAAAAGAAAAAACCAAAUUAAUACCUAUGAUAUAUUUAUCCAAACUAAUUUCAUCUCAUAGAAUAUCCCUAAUCGAUACCUCUCACACAAAUCUAUCCACCAUUAAAAUGCAUACAUGUCAACAUACAUGAAUUUUCAACAUCAAAUCAGUCAUUUUUCUCCUCUCAUUCAUCAUGUGUUGACAAGUAUGCAUUACAAGUAGAUUUUGGUUUGGAGUACCAAUUUGAGGUUUUAUUUUUUGUGAGACGAAAUUAAUUUGCGAUCAAUGUGCCAUGUAUUUACUAAUUUGAGAUUUAUUUAUUUAUUUUGGUAAGGUAAGUAAUAUAUUGACUUUUAACCAAAAACUAUACAACAGGGGUUCUUGGCACCAAAAAACUUACACUCACUUUGGAAUUUAUCGUGAUAUUAAUCCUUCAAAAUAUUAAAUGCUAUCCUCUGCUAGUGAAAUUUACUACCAUGAACGACAGUCUAAAAAUACUAAAGUUGAAUGGGAAAUAACUUUUGUACCUUCAAUCACUUCAAACAGAUAUUCACGUUCACAUAUGCAUCCUCUCUGAAGUAAAUAUGGGUAGGUAGGACAUUGGAGGGAUCACGGAUCAGGCUGUGUUAGGAAGAGAGCAAAAAGGAAAACCAGUAUCUCUCCCUCAAAGCACAUACACAAAAGAUUAAUCAGGAUUUAUGACCUCAACAUAAAUUUAAAAAAAAACAAAAAGGAUUUUUGUGCUUAGCAAACUAAAGUAUUAACAUCUUUUUAAUUUAGGAGCAUCCUCAUGCCGCUUGGUUGUUUAUAUGAAGCAUAAACCGACGGGUACAUGUACCAUGUAUGAACAGAGAUUUCUUGCAUAACUUAGAAUACACGAGAAACAAAACCCUCCUAAAAUCCUCAUAAUAAAGCAAGAGAAGAUCACCCAGACUUAAAACAACUCCAUUAAUGGGCAUGGGACUCAAUGAGAUGAUUUGUGGAGUAAAACUUGCCCUCAAUCGAGUUUACUCUUCAUCACUUUUCAUAUGGAAAGAGUGGACAGACCUCAGAAAAAAUGGAUAGCUCAACCAGAAAAGGAAAAAGUUCCGUUUGUCACCAGAUAUUUAACCAACAACUCCAUCGUUGCCAUACUUGCAGAAAAACCCCUUUCAACCACUUCACCAACAGCUUAUGCUGCUUUCAUGUCUUCCUUAUUUCUUAGUAGUCCUUGGAUUAUGAUGUUAAGAGAGACACCAUCUGGAAAGCAUCCAAUACUUUCCAUCUCCUUCAGCAGCUGAUACGCCUCCUCUGCACAUCCUCCUUCGCACAAUCUACACAUGACAGAGCUAUACAUCCACACGUCAGGUUCCAGCCUCAAGCAUGCAAACAAUUAAACAGCUCGAUAGCAUCGUCAAGCUUCCCGGAGUUACACAUGCCUUAUAUUAGAAUAGUGUAUGACACAAUAUCUGGUGUGAAUUUGGAGUCUUUCAUCUUUCGAAGCAAUAUCAGCCCAGCAUACUCGGUCAAUGGGUCAAGCAAGCAUCUUCACCAAUAGUCAUUGCAUGAGCAUGUUCCAUCCAUAAAAUGGUGGAACCUGUUUGCAUCCCUUACGACUAUAGGUCUUCCAGUUGCCAUGGAGAUAUAUUUGAUCGCAGAAUGACAAUCUCCACAAAUGCGAAGAUUCUUAAAUACCCUAAUAGAUUUCGGACUGGAGGUGCUUAUAAGGCCAAAAACAACAGCAAUUUUCUCACUGUGUUGGAGCAAAUAUUGUUCCUUUUGUCCCUCCUCCACAUCAUGAAGAACAAAUUGAGUAUUCGGAACAUAACCCAGUUUCUUUAUUCGACUAGCCAAUCGGUCCAGUUCCUCAUAGAUCUCCCGUGCCUUCGGAUGUGAAGCAUCACCCACAUAGAACUUGUGAACUGUAUUUUUCACUUCAAUCCAGCUACAACCAGCUUCUUUUGUAAGAUUUUUCAGUUUCAUCUUCUUUCUGAUUGCUGCAGCAUCUUCCCAUAGACCAGCCAAGGCAUAAAUAUUUGAUAGCAAAAUAUAAGUCGCAGGGUCAUCUGGUUCUUGCUCAAAAAUCAUUGCUGCAGCUUGUUUUGCAAGUUCAACAUUGCCAUGAACUCGGCAAGCUCCGAGAAAUGUACGCCAGACAAGUGUAUCAGCCCGGAAAGGCAUUGAAUUUAUAAACUGAAGGGCUUCGACAAGGGAUCCUGAUCUGCCCAAUAAGUCCACCAUACAUGCAUAGUGUUCGGUUCUAGGCACGAUUCCAUGUUCUGGGUACAUUGACCUAAAGUGUUUCCAUCCAUCAGAUAUCAAACCCACAUGACUACAAGAGGAUAAAACAGCAACAUAGGUGAUCUCAUUUGGCCUCACACCAGCAUCAAGCAUUUGAUGGAAUGUGUCUAGAGCUCUCGUCCCAAAUCCAUGCUUUGCAAAACCAGUAAUCAUUGAAGUCCAAGUUAUGACAUUUUUCUCUCUUGUCUCACUGAAAACUCGAAAAGCAGCUUCUAUGUUUCCACACCUGGAAUACAUAGAGAUCAAAGCAUUAGAAAUGCACUGAUUUGAAUCAAGCCCUGAUUUUACCAUCCUCGCAUGGAUUUGCUCCCCCUUACCAAUAGCGCCAACACUGGCAACUCCACUCAAAAGGCUGGCAAAUGUAAAAGCACUUGUUCCGAUCCCUCUCUCCUCAAUCUCAUGUAGUAGUUCAAAGGCUUCAUCGGACUCCAAACUUUUGGCAUAGGCAUCUACAAGGGUAUUAUAAGAAACCAGAUUCUUUUCAAAUAGCGCAUCAAAAGCUCUCUGAGCAUCUUCCAUGUGGCCCGACCGGGAAUACAUGCUGACAAGAGAAUUACCCACGCAAGUAUCACAGGCAAAGCCCAAUUUUAUAGCUAGUGCGUAUAUUUGUAUCCCCAUAUCUACAUCACGAAUAUUUCCACAUGCCUUGAGAACACCAGCAAAUGUGAAAUGGUUUGGCCUCACAGGACCUUUUGUCAUUUCCCAAAAGAGCUUGAUAGCCUCCUCAUUCUCUUCAGCCCGUGCAUAUCCUGUGAUUAUCGCUGUCCAAGACAUCACAUUGUGAUCUUGCAUCCGAUCAAACACCUUUCUCGAAUCAUGAAGCGAUCCACCAUCUACAGACUUGACAUACAUGUCCACCAAACUGCAUCCAACACAGACAUCCGAAGCCAAUCCAGACCGUAUAACCCAGGAAUGCAAUUGUACCCCGAGCGAUAGUAACUCCAACUCUGAACAUACAGACAAAACAGCCGUGAGUGUAAAUCUAUCUGGCACAGGCCCACUCACCAGCAUAUCCAAAAACAAAUCAACAGCUUUCUUUGGACUACCCAACUGAGUACAUCUCGUCAUCAUCAAAGUCCAAGCAACCACAUUCCUCUCGGGCAUUUUCUCAAACACCUUACGAGCUGAAACCAAAUCAGCACUACCCUUUGCAAACAUGUCAAUCAAUGCACACCCAACACACACAUCAGAAUCAAGAUAGCCGCUUUUGAUAAUAAACCCAAAAACCGUAUCGCCAAUAGAUGCACUCUCCGGGACCGAGCAAGCCCGAGCAACCGCCGCGAAACAAUAAUCAUUAGGGAAAAACCCAUCCUCGAGCAUAUGAACGAACGUAUCCACCGCUUCAAACUCCAUGUGAUUAUUGGCAUAGCAGGAGAUCAUGGAACUCCAAGAAACCAAGUCCCUCUUAUCGCCCAUGUCCCCAAAAACCCUCUCCGCCUCAGCCCAGUCGUUGGAUUUCGAGUAGAGACUGAUGAGCGAGUUGAGGAUCACCGAGUCGGGCUCGAGCCCGGACCGGGCGAGCGCGCGGUGGACGCGCCUCCCCAGCGCGAACGCGCGGGAGCGGAUGCAUGACUUGAGGAGGAGAGAGAAGGUGAGGACGUCGGGGUGGGACCCGUCGCGGGACGCGAGCUCGAGGCGCGUGAUUGCUCCGCGGAGGUCGCCGCCGUCGAGGCGGGCGACGAGGCGGCGGCCGUCGAGGGGCGAGGGGGGAAGGUUUUGGCGGGAAGGAGAGAGCUUGACGGUGGACGGUGGAGGGAAGAGAGAGAGAUUCAUUGCUCCAUGCAUGACCAGCAUGGCCUGCCACAUCAAGAAAUGUAAAUAGAUAGGUUCAUGAAUUACGUGGUCAAUUAUGCUUAUGAUUGAACUACUUUUCUUUUGCAUUACGUUCUUACCUAGAGGAAAGAUAAUCAAACGGUGGACGAUCUCGUAAUUUUAUUGUUAUACCUAAGUUGUUGGGACACUUGAUGUAGUUGAGAACGAUUCAAAUUCUGUUUGGGUAUCCACAUCAUCAACUCGCUUCUCGAAUGAAUACAAAAGAAGGCAGAGGGAGACACUUUAUCAAUAUCUCCUUCAAACAUGUCUAAGGACUCUUUUUUAAGGUGAUCAACUCCUGAUUCAGUUCGAUUCCAAUGUGGAAUUGGAAAUCGGAAAUCAGACCAGGACUAGGGACUAAACCGGUUGGUCCUACCACAGGGGAUUGGUCAUUAUUUCUUUUUUCAUGCUUCCAUUUGAAUAUCUUAUUAUCUAAAGCAUGAUCAAGAACAAAUUCAAGUCUUAAGACAAAUCUUAUGCAGACAGCGUGGCUUGUGUCCUCGCUGACAUGGCGAUUGUCACACCAAAUCAUGCAAAUUACGACUACUACACCACGUCUCUUUAUCCCACAACAGCUGCCUAUGGUCAUGCCACCUGGGUUACAGCACUUUCUUUCGGCGAUUGCGGCAUAUGUGUUAGCGCUGCUAAGACUCGAAUACUGGCAGACUGUCCAAACAGUCUUGGCGUCGAUAUGGUGUGAAGAUUGCAAUAUGAGGUAUGAAAACUAUUUAUUUACUGAUUAAAUAGUUCGCCGCCAAACCAGAGAGCCGUGUUCUAUUGUAUCGGUUGUUUCUGCCGCACAUGUUGCCAUGUUUGUUUUUGCAAUAAAUGAUAUCCUAGAAGAUAUGCUUUCUUUGUCAUUUUCAAGUUCUCAAAACAAUACUUAUUUAUUAUGAUGAAAAAACCUAACAAAAUAGCCAUAAGCUAAUGACUAGUGCGAAAAUGUGCUGUGUAUCUGAUCCAUUCUUACGUUCAUUAGAUUUGUUAUUACGAUCCUCAAGUGAGCCUUUAAGAGACAGUAGUUGGAGACCCACAAAUAAGAUGACGUGCUAGAUAGUGCAAAACCAAAAAAAAAAUCCUAAAUCAAUAAAAGGAAACGCUGCUUAUAGGCUAAAAGAAAUGGUUAUAACCUUGCUAAGGCCGCUUAUGAAUUUUUCCAUAUAAUUUAUAUGUUGAACUCGAAGCAUGACACCAUGCCAAAAUGCAGCAAGAAAUAACCAGGACUUUGGCCUCAAUAUUUGCGUAAGGGUCAUGCUUUAAAAUCAUUAAGGUGGUUGAGAACAUAUUACACCGUGCGAAGAAGGUACACAUGGAUAAGCUCAUUUCAAUGCCAAGAAACCAUUUCAUAGAUACCAAAUCCCCGAAGCAAAAUUUGUGAAAUCGAAACUGUUUCACAUCUCAAAUCAGUUAUUGGUAAUUUCCAAUCAUAUCUGUGUCAUCAACAUAAAGCAAAAUGAAUAAAUAGGAUGAGCUAAUGCAUAAAACACAACGGAAUUAUCAGCAUUAGAUUGAACUAAACCAACGCAGUAGAGAAUAGUUCAGAAACCAACUUUCUGUGACUAGGCAAGGAUGAUAUAUAUAAUCCCUCAAACAAUGCAAGAAGGCAUCUGCAAUGCAUAUGCAAGUCAAGUUAAUAAAGAUCGCCAUGUCGUGUUGCAGCAAAUAACAACUAUCAGCAAAACACGUACAAUGGCCAGCCACAUGAUGGCACAAAAAGUGUGGUGAUAAUCAAACUUAACCGUCAACCUUAAUUGCUCAGGAGGACAUUAAAGAGCAACUCUAUAAAGUGAAACUCUGGAGAUAUAAAUAAGGGAAAAAGACCCUUCUAUAUACAAGUAUAAGGCUAAUCAUAAUCAUAGAUCAACAGUAAAAAUUACAUCUUCCCCUUAUUCCAACUACCUACAUUUAUCACAAGAGUAUGCAAUUAUUAUAUGCCUCUUCCAAAAGUUCUAUAGAAUAAUCGAGAAAGCCCUUGUCUCUGGAGAUAAUCAAGGAUUGCUCGUUCAUGGACAGAAACCUUUUAGAUCGUAUCACUUCCUUGGACCACGACACAUGUGCCUUACUUCACUUUACACCAUCUGAUAAUCUUAUUAUUUCUUAAUUUUGCACACCCAUCUUAUUCAGAAGAAAAGAUGCAAGAGACCACAUUUUGGUAUUAUAAAAAACACGCGAUGUACCUGACUAGCUUUCCACGUAGUCGAAUAUUCCAGCUUGAUUGCAAUUAUUAGGAUCAAUAGUGGAAGAUAAAGCACUAUCUACAAAAAUGGGAAGAAAAAUGUUUUGGGCAAAAUUUUGUGCUCUGGAGGAGAAGAAGCACCACCAAAUUGUGAAGGUAAUUGAAAAAAACUCUAAACCUAUUGCAUUUUAAGCAAUUCAGUCAUAAAUCUUUUAAUUUUACCAAUUGACUCCUAAAUUUUUUCACUUCUCACCAGUUGAUUCUAUUGGCCGAAAAUUACUGACAGUGAAGGCCGGGUUGACGUGACAUUUUUUAAAUAAUAUUUUAAUAAUAUUUUGAAGGUUUUUUUCUUCUUCUUCUUUUUUUUUUUUUGCUUUUUUUUGGGGGGUUGGAUAUAGGGUCGGUCAACCAUCGCCAGCCAUAGGUGAGGGCCGCUGACCCCCCCCCCCCCCUUUGCCAACCAUACGGGAGGGCCGGCUGACCCUCGCCGAUGAAAGUGAGGGCAUGCAAGCCCUUGAGCAAAAAUGGCGAGGGCAGUGACCUUGUGUCCUCAGAUCUUACUCAUGAUUUGCCUAGAAAAACAUCUUCUCAACAAAGAUGAAGGUUUUUGAUUUAGAGAUAAGAAGCUUUGGAACCCUCCAGAGCGAAAGUAUAGCGAAAGUAUAGCGAAUAAAUUUAAACAUUUGCUUGUUUGACUUGAUUGAGCUAGAUAACAAUCUAAUCAAGCUCAUCUCUUUUAUUCAAGUCAAAGCAACUGCAAAUUCUUAAUUCUUAGACUAACUUAAACCAGCUAUGCAACUCAUCAUGAUUCAACCACAAAGCAAAGACAUUCUCUAUCCACCCCAUGGUCCAAUGAUUAUGCAAAUCAGGUAAUACCAUACCAUUAAACUUUAUUUACACGACCUCGCAAAUGCAAGUACGGCCCUUCUAACAAGCAAAAACUGAACUAGGAAGAAGGGUCAAGAUACAAUGAUGACUCAAAAGUCAAAGCGACACAUCUUUGUGUGUGCUUUCUGCAUUUACAAUACGCCUACCAGCAACGAGUCAUGGAUGUCCAGGUUUUGAAGCAGUGUCAUUGUUCUGUCCAUUUCUUGCCGCACUUUUGUGAACCAAGUUGUGUAGAAAAAUUGCUUAUUUGGACCAACACGGUUGCACAGGAGCCGCACCUUUUGUCUCUCUCUCAUCCAUCCCAACACUAAUUUCAUGUGCCUUUUGCUAGUCAGUCCUCUUAAACCAACUUCCUCAAUUGUCUUGAGACGAUGAUCAGCAAAUUAAGCACACCAAGAUAACAAUAAAAAUGAUGAUACCUAGGAGAUGCCAAGGUGUUGAUGCAUUAUGCAGCAGAGAGGCAAAGAAUAAGGGAUGAGAAUCAGCAAGCACUGAAAACGUUUAAAAACAAAAAAGACAUUACUUGAACGCGUUCCCAGGUGUCUGCAAUCGUGAGAGGACCAUGCUCCUUCAACAGGCCAAAGAUGAUCCUCGUGAUGGUUUGUUUCUGCUCUGGAGGCAUCUUGAGCUCAAUCAGUUUCAUCUUCGGUUUCGGCUUCCUAACCGAAUCAGCAAAAGAGUCAGCUUGGAAGACAGUCACAGAGUCAGCAAAAGAGCUUCUUAUAACUUAAAAACUAGCAAGCAAUUCCAGGUAUUGCCAUAUGACAAAAUUGAACCAUCAGUAAUUUUAACCCACGACGAAAUCAGGUUUGUGUUUUUCUUAUUCGAAGAAGUGAGAAUUCAUGUGUGCAUUUUUAUCUCUUGCAAGUUGUUGGGACUUGCAGGAUUAUGGAUGGCCUGGUAAAUAAUGUGAUGAUAAGGAACAUCUAACAGGGCACGCGAUGCAUAAAAGGACUAUAGCAUUUGGCAUCGAAUUUAACUCACUGUACUUCUAAGUUAACAACUGAAAUUUGAUCUGACAACAUAAACAGAGAGAUUUUGCAGAGUAUAAAUAGAUAUGUUCCUUAUAAUUCCGUGGUUGUUAUAAACAAUGAUCAAUGCCUUCAUCAAGUGUACAAAUUCCAUAUGAAUCAUAGCCAAGUGUUGCAGAUCUAAACUUACUUUGACAGCAUAGAAUAAAACAUAACUUACACUUAAUUUGAUCAAAGGCCGUCAUCAUGCUUGCCUUCGAAAAGGAAGAAGUUUCAUUUGUCACGACAUAUUUAACCCACAACUCCGUAGUCACUACAUCUGCAGAAAAACCCCUUUCAACCAUUUCAUUGACAAGUUCUGCUGCUCUGGUAUUUUCAUUAUUUCUUAAUAGUCCUUGGAUGAUUGUGUUAUAAGUGACGUCAUUUGGAAGGCAUCCAUUUCCUUCCAUCUCCCUUAACAGCUGAUAUGCUUCCUCCAUGCAUCCUCCUUUGCACAAUCCAUGAAUAAUGACAUUGUAUGUCCACACAUUAGGUUGCAAGCCACGAGCAUUCAAACAAUUAAAUAGCCCCUGAGCAUCGUUGAGCUUUCCAGCAUUACACAUGCCAUUUAUUAAGAUAGUGUAAGUCACAAUAUCUGGGACAAAUUUGGAAUCUUCCAUCUUUCGAAGUAAUAUCAUGGCCUUGUCAAUCUGCUGCACUUUACACAAGCCAUCCAGGAAAGCAUUCAAGGUAUAAUGAUUUGGAGAUAGAUCGCGAGACUGCAUCUCCUUAAUUAGCUCCUCCGCAGCUCCAAGGUUCCCAACCUGGCAAAAUCCAUAUACUAGAGUGCUGUAUGUGAUGUCGUUAGGAUUCAGGCCCCUUUGAAGCAUUUCUUGGAAAAGCAUCUUUGAUUUGUCAACUCUUUUCCCUUUGCAGUAUCCGUUGAUCAACGUGUUAUAACAAACAACAUUAGGUGAGCAGCCUCUUUUAACCAUCAAAUUAAGCACUUCCAUAGCAUUGUCCAUUCUAUUUUGCAAACAAUAACCAUUCAUCAAUGUAUUAUAAAUGAAACUAGAAGGCAUUUGACCUAAUUGUAUCAUCUGGUCGACUAUGGCCUCAGCCUCUACAAGCAUUCCCUCUUUACAAUAUGCAUCCACCAGGAGAGUGAAGGUUCGAACAUUCGGCAUUACUCUGCUUUGCACCAUAUGACUCAGCAGUCUUCGAGCCUCUUUCAAUUGGCCAGAAUUGCGCGCUCCUUGAAUGACCAAGGUAUAAGUAAUGACGUCCGGUUCAAUUCCUGCCUUCGUCAUCUUCUCCAACAAGACCGUAGCAUCUUUCCAUUGGCCUAGGUUGCAUAAGCAAUGAACCAAGGAGUUAUAAGUGGGUAAAUCGGGUUGGAUUGCUCUGCUUGUCAUCUCUUUCAACAAUGUGAGAGCAUCUUUUAGCUGGCCUACAUUGCACAGACCAUGAAUCAAGGAGUUGUAAGUAACAACAUCUGGUUUGAUCACUUUCCCACUCAUACUUUCAUGGAGUCUCAACGCUUCUGCAAUCAAUCCCUCCUUGCAAAGACUAUCGAUCACUAUGUUGUAUGUGAAGGAACCAAGCCUGCAGCUUCUCUCUUCCCAGUCCCUUAGCAAUUCAAUAACCAGUCUGGUGUUACCCGCCCUGCAUAACCCCUUUGCGACUAUCGCAUACGUGGUCUCAUUAGGUUCGAGGCCGUUUCGUUGCAUAUCAUCGAGGAACCUCAGUGCUUGAUCAGUUUUGCCCUGAAUAAAGAGACCAUCAAUUAGGGUGCUCGAUGUCACGACAUUGAUGGGAAACCCAAGCUUGAAGAUUCUGCCCAGGAUAGACAAACCCAAAUCAACCCGCUUUAACCGGCAGAAGCAAUUCAUCCAAAUAUUGAGCGAGGCAACAUCACCCUCGAUCCCCAAAGAAGGCAGCCGCUCAAUCAACCGGAUCGCAGUCGAGUAGUGCUUCAACCUCACUAAAGCACCCAGCAGUAGAUUAAAAUCCCUGGCGGAAGGCAAAGGGUUCGUCUGUAUCAUUUUACCGAAGCAACACAAGGCAUCGCCGAUACUCGUAAACCCACCACCACCGGCUCUGCAAUUUUUCCUCACGUAACUCAAGAGCCGGUUCGGGUCGUGGAGAAUAGGGUUAGGGAUCGAACAGAACCUCCGACGAACGCUGGAGAUCGCAGCUGGAGCACGAAGAAGAAGGAAGACGGGAGCACCACAGAGGCUCGCGCGCUUCAUCGGCAGCUUGAUGAUGAAUCUGAAAACUGGAAGCUCUGCUUUUGCUCGGCGGUCUCUCUCUCUCUCUCUCUCUCUCUCUCUCAAAGUCGGACAGUCUCUAUACUUCAAUCCUCUAUUUAGGGCGCGUUUGUUUAAACGUGUUUCUGUCCCGGAACACAAAUAUUUAUUAUUUUGUUUCGGAAAAUUAAACAAAAAAAAGUAGAAACGCAUUUAUUUACAUUUUUUAUUCUCGAGAAUAAAUUUGGAACAAAAAUAAAAAAGUAGAAAAAACUUAUUUCUUGCAAGGCCGAGCCACGGCGAGGCUCCCGGAAAGGCCAAGCCACAGCAAGGCUAGUCGAGGCUCCCGAAGAGGCCGAGCCAUAGAUUUGGCACAACACACUCUAGACACUAGGGUGGGUAAACCUCAUCGAAGUGUCGUCGGCCCCCGAAGAGGCUGAGCCACAGUAAAACUUGUCAGCCCGAGCCUCGCCGUGGCUCACGAUGGCCACGUGAGGCUCGGCCUCAUCAGGCCACCUCCAGCAUGGUGUCACCUGGCGGUGGAAAAUGCUGAAUUUGGUUCAAUUUUGAAAACGCUCUUAGGAAAAUGCACAUAUCUUUAAGCUAAUUUUUUUUUUCUUUUUUUUAUCUAAAACCCUUUUAGGUUUUAGAGGUCAAGGGUUUUGAAGAAAUACAAAAGUUGGUUAAAUUUUCUUUGCAAAGCUAUUUUGGAGUAAUGAAUGUUUGGUAAAUUUUUUUAUAAAGGGCUUUUGGAUUUCAUUUUUCUUUUUUAUUAAAAAAUGUUAAACUCUUUACCAUCCCUAAUAAAGGUAAAUGUAAUUUUGGAACAAUGAGAAAUAAAAUUGAAAAACCAAAAAAAAUUAUGAUAAUAGUUUGAGGAAAAAAAAUGUAAUUUCAGUAUUUAAUCGAAUGCUAAAAGCCCAAAACUGAUCUCUAUCGGCAUUGGGCUUUUAACUUUUCCAAAGCCAACAUUUGACUAAAAGCUCAUUAGAUAGGCUUGCCAAACACUACAGCAUUUUUCCAACGGAGCUCAUUACGAAAACUGAACCAAAUGCACCAAAGUCUUAUUACUGCCUUGGUGUCACGGAUGCCUUCAACGUCCAAGCUGGCUGCUACCAUGGCGUCUUUCAUAAUGCACAAGCAGCAGGAAAGAUCGGCUUUUACCAAGGCGGCACUAUAAACUGUACUCUCAAUAUUGAAAUAAAUAUGAUCGCUAUUGCUGAUUCGUUUCACAUAAUGUAGCUCUGAGGCUCUAAUGCUGAUACUAUAGCACACAAACAGGGAGUGGUGAGGCAAUUCUAUCUUUUAUGCAUCUUAUGGCAGUAUAAUCUUAUGACCAUGCAUAGUUUUUUAAGGAAACUAAUUGGCCACUUACUCUUUAUUUAGAUCAAAACAUAUAAUAUUGAUUUAGUGAGGCUGGAGAUGCUUUAGGUCUUUAGAUUCCGUAGAAAGGACAUAAGUUUGUUGUUAUAUUUUAUGAGAUGUUUCAUGGUUGAGCCUCUGUAUGGGUGUUGGAGACUGAUGUUUAAAUAAGAUACUACAGCUAGGAAGAAUUCUCUCCUAGCACAGAUAUAUUUUUCACCACUUUCCUUUUCUUUUCUUUUUUUUAAAAAGAAAGUGGGGGGACUUUUGCAUUGCAGUAGAAUAAUAUUGAGGUCCGCAUGUGUGGUGCUGAUUUUGAUGAAUCAUUCUGCGUGGAAAGGAGUCCAUUCUUUCUUGUUGUAACAUGUCUAAUGCCAUAAGGUUGCUGGUAUUUUUCUCUGUUUUGGCAUGAAUUUCAUAUGCUUGGUCAGAGGAAUUUGCUUUUUCUGGUUUUCCAUGCACGCGCGUGCGUGAGAGAGAGAGAGAGAGAGAGAUAGAGACCGCAGCCCCCGAGGGGGGGACGACUUCUAAUCUCUGUUUUCUUGUCAGAUUUUACCAGGAUAUUGUGGUUUACACUUUGGUUUCUGUGGCAUGGGACAUGAAUUGACUGGCGGAUUAAUUUGCUGUUAAUUACUCUCUUGUACUGUAGGUAUUGAUCUUAAGUGAGAAGCUUCGUUCUGUCACUACACAGUUUGAUCAGCUAAGAGCCAUAAGCUUCCAGGAUGCUAUUAAUACGGUGAGACCUAGAAGAAAACUUAAUCAGUCUGCCAGUUCUAUUCCUGCAGAUAACUCACAUGGUAAUGUAGAAUUCAAAGAGUCUAACGAAGUUCCAGGUGAGCUUCUAAGAGUCCAGCAAGAACACUUGGAUGUGAGACAGAAGCCCUUCCGGUAAUCACACAAUCCACUUUUUUCCUUGGGAAAACUGAUUAUUGAUGAUGCUGAUCGGUUAUUUUACUCUAGCAUUCAAGUCACUCAGACUUUUGUUCUGGCAUAUGUAUUGCUCAGGUAGAGUUGACGAGCCUUCUAGAUGCAGUCCAACAAACGGAAACGAAGAUGGUGGAAAUGUCUGCAUUGAAUCACCUCAUUUCUACACGUGCUGCAGCAAGCUCAGCAGAUAGAGCAUCUAUAUGAGCAGGUGACAACUUUUCUUUCAUUCCUUGUUUUAUGUGUGGUUUUAUUUUUUGGUUAAAAUUCUUGUGUGGUUUAGAUGGAUUAAAGUAUGCAUCAUUUUCUGCCCCAUCUUAUCUGUAUCUCCUGUUUCGCACAUUUUUCUUUGCAUGGUUUACCCACCCUAGUGUCUAGAGUGUGUUGUGCCUGCACAUAUAUUUUUCCAUUUGAUUUGGGUUUUUCAGCUUAACCUGGGCAGCUACUAGGCAUUGUUUUAAUGAAAUCUUUAGAUUUGAUUGCAAUUAUAUCUCUCUUAAUCAGAAAUUUCGAGUAGGAGUCAAAAGUUGUAAAACUCGUGUUCAAAUUGGAGAAGUUGACUUUUGGACCAACUAGGUUUUCGAACGCCCCCCUUUCCCUCUUCAAAGGGAAAAAUUAUUAGGUGGAUGUAUCCAACUGAACAUUGGAUUAGGUGUUUCAAUGUGGAAAGUGGUGGACCCACGAGAUUGAAUGAUCCAGAUUGAUGAGGUGCUUGUUUUGGCUAUUGAUAUGUUGAAUGGUUGGAGAGGGUCAGCACGAUGGAAAAAGGGGAUUUUAUGACGUGGUUGGAGGUGGUGUUUUUUAUUUCUAUCAACGUUGCUGAUGUUGCUGAAGCAGGGAAAACAUUGAACUUAAUUUCUUGUUGAAUGUUGUGCUGCUUUCAUGAGUUAGAAGAGGAAGAUUGGAGGCAAAAAGGGUGAAGUUCCAAUCUGUGGAGUAGAUGUAAAUUGUCCCUGGGCAUUCAGUUGUUCUGCAAGAGAAACACCGCUCUUCCAUGACCUUUUUUUUUUUUUUUUGUACGGCUGCACCUGCGGGGUAUUCUGUUUGGAUUUGAGGGAAGAGCUGAGGAGGAAGGAAUGAUGAAUUCGCCACUCCCUGAAUUUUAACCAAUCAACAGUUUUAGAAGAAGCGAGGGCAUGCUUGUCCUUGUAUCAUCUAUUUCGUGAGCUCCAACAAGGGAUCUCAUGGGAUGCAUGUGAAUGCAAUGGUCUAUGUAAAUUUGUGAGUUCUAGUCAAGCUAAGAUAGAAUAGGUUAAAUGCUAUCCAAUAUAGGAUAUAAAAAGAAGAAACAAGCAUUCAAGGAAUAAGCAAAGGAAUCAAGAAUCUUCUUGAUUAAUUUGUCUAGAAUCGUUGUGGUUAAUGAAAGAUUAUUCCAGAGAAAUAGACGACCCUUAAAUGAGAGUACCAGAUGAAAAAGACAGGAGCAACAUCGGCAACAUACACAUGAAUAUUGAGGGACAAUUGAAACAAGGCUAGGCCCUCAAUAAUUCCAAAAAAGAAAACUCAGGAUUAGCAAUGAUUCGUGGGAGAGAGCGACAAAUUUGUGUAUGCUUAAAUUGUACAAUUAUGUGCAACUGUUGCUCAAAUAGUAAAAAGGACACGUGAGCCAAAGAAAAAAGGACAAAUGCAAACUAAAGAAAUACUUUGAAUUACUUAAACAGAUCAAAUUGCAUAUCUAGCCCUCAGCAAAAUAUGAAAUUGCAUUGUUUCCAUUCUAUAAACAAAUAGUUAGAAGCUUUUAAGAUUGUUUAUGCAUUGGUACCAUGGAAGAAAGCUUGAGAUGCUAAUCAUAGGAGAAAACCUAUUGGGUACAACUGCUAUAAAUAGUCAAGACUUGAGCCUAUCAAGGUACAAAGUUGGGUUGAGAGAAAAAUUAAGGUAUAUCACGUUAUGGAUACUAAUAAUGCUACUGUUGUCCCUCUUGAUGUUCAAUAUUGUUAAAGGUGCUCCAAAAAAUGGCAUAGUUUAUUGGGCUUACAAUACUGGUUCCCAUUGAAGUGGCGAUCAUUAUGCAAACGGCAUGGCUUAUGUCCUCGAGGACAUGACGACCGUGAUGCCAAAUCACGUGGACUACAACUACUCCACUGCAUCUCCUUAUCCCGCAACAACCACCUAUGGUCACACUUCCUGUUGCCAAGCACUUUCUUAUAGUGACUGUGGCAUAUGCAUAAUCUCUGUUAAAUCCCAAAUACUGGCCAUCUGUCCAAAUAGUUAGGGCGCUCAAGUCGAGCUUGAAGAUUGUAGAAUGAGGUAUGAAAACUACUCGUUCACUGUAAUUUGGCGCCGAACAUAGAGAACCUUGUUUGAAUUGUAAUGGCACUGGGAUGUGCAUUGCUUAAGUGUGUUGAAGAAUAAAUGCUCUAGUCAUGUAUCCUAACUUAUAUUUUGUGUAGUUGUUUCUGCCAUUCAUGUUGUCAUGUUUAUUGUUGGAAAUGAUAUGAUAUGUUUCUCCUAUACCUUUUUUGUUAGUUUAAAGUUCUCAAAAUUGCCUUUUUAUUACCGAGAAAACCUAAGAAAGCAGCUAAAAGCUAAUGACUCGUAUGAAAAAUCAAAUUUGCAUUGUCUAAUUUGCACGUCAUUGGGUUUGUUCCUAUGAUACUUAAGCGAGCCUUCAAGAGACGGCGGUACGCAAAUAAGAGGACGUGCAGGAUGGUGCAAAACCAAAAGCCGGAAUCAAUAGAAGGAAACGCUGCAUAAAGGCUAAAAGAAAUGGUAACGACCUUGCUAAAGUCGCUUGUGAAUUUGACAUAUACGUUGAACUCGAAGCACAACUCCCUGUUGAAAUUCCAAAAGAAAUAACAACGACUUUGUCCCUAGUAUUUGCAUACGGAUCACCACUUGAAAAUCAUUAAGGAGGUUGAGAACAUAUUUACAGCAUACAAGACAGAUGUCACGUGAGGAUUCAGUCUUUUCGUUGCCAAGAGAAUAUUUCCAAGAAGCCAAAUCAGCAAAACAGAAACUAUGUCAAAUCAAAUACUGCUCAUACCACAUGAGUGUCAUCAGCAUAAACCAAAAUAAGUACAGAGGAUGAGCUAAUGCAUGAAAAAGAAAAUGGACUUAUCAACAUAAGAUUGAACCAAACCAGCAUCUACUAACGCAGUAGGGGAUACUUAAGAAACCAAUUUUCUCUGAAGAUUUUACUUUUCAUCGUAAAAGUGGCCUUGCUUCAGUUGAUAAGCCAAUGAACCUGCGUUGUCAAAUCAGGAAACGGGCAAAAGAGACAGCCAAGGAGUUGAUCCUCUUGUGAUAUAUGCACAACUUCAAUUUGAACCUUUUGCUUGACGAGUUCUUUUUUCUGAGUUCAAUUGAUCAUGUCUGUCAUGGUAUCCACACGUCAACUUAGCUCAAAGACUUGUCUCCAAAACGCUUGCAUGCUACUACGAUUGGGUCAGCAAACAAAGAGUAGAGGGCAUGCCGAGAGGCAGAUUGUCCAGGGAAAUCCUCCUGUCAUAAGUGAGACACUUAAAAACAAACAGAAAAAUGUGCUCCCGAGUCAGUAAUUAAGACAGACACAAAUGGCAAGGAAUUCACCUCUAUCGAUCAGGAAAGUAAUUCAAUUGAUGCAGUGGAAAAGACGAUGGAAUUUACAUAAUCUGGGCCUGACCACGAUGAAGUUGAUUGUUGCUCGCUCAAGACGGCUAGCAUUGUUUGUCAACAGCAUUCUUGUUCACCCAUCAUCAGAUGCUUUUCGGAAAAUCCCUUGCAGUGCAAAGGGGAAGAUACUUCAAGUAGCUUUCAUACACUUGCAGCCACGUUUCUUAGUCAGCAAGCCGUCCCCCAAACUUUGCUUUUAAUUUGCACGUAAGAAGAAGAGCAAAUAGACCAAAUAUGUAAUCGACCUGUGGUGAUAAUCUGAUACACAGCUUGACCCAAAUAUACUCCACUGGCGAUUCAAACACCAUCCACUUCAAGGUAUGCCUCUUCUUUGAAGUAUCUGUGGUAAAUAGGACAUCAAAAGGAUCAGAUUGUGAAAAAAGAAAGUGUAUAACAGAAAACUAGAAUCUCUCUCUCAAAGCACAUACACAAUAGGCUGAUCAGGAUUUAUGACAUAAUAUACUUCAUUACAUAGUAAAGUUAUCGCUAUUAACAUCUAUUUAAUACAAUAUCAUCCUCAGACUGCUUGAUCAUUUGUAUGAAUUUCCCCUGUUUGAAAAACAUUAGGCACCAAAAGCACUAACAGAUGAGUACACAUAAUAGUUCAAUACAGAGAUUUCGUACCGAACCUAGAUAUACGAGGAUAAAAAUCCACCUUAUACCCCUCCAAAUAUUUGCCGUCUUGGGCAGUUCAAUUCAGUGAAUUGUCUCUGAGAUUUGAAACAACUUCAUCAAUGGGACAUGGGACACAAUGAGAAGAUGUUUGGAAGAAAACUUGGCGUUAAUCUAAUUUACUCUUCAUCACAUUUCAGAUGAAAACUUGGACAGAUCUCAGAGACAAUGGACAGUUCUCCUAGUAAAGGAAGAAGUUCCAUUUGUCAUGAGGUAUUUGAUCCACAACUCCGUUGUCGCUACAUCUGCAGAAAAACCCCUUUCAACCAUUUCAUCAACAAGUUGCGCUGCUCUAGUAUUUUCGUUAUUUCUUAGUAGUCCUUGGAUCAUUGUGUUGUAAGCGACACCAUCUGGAAAGCAUCCAUUUCCUUCCAUCUCCUUUAGAAGUAGAUAUGCUUCCUCCGUACGUCCUCCUUUGCACAACUCACGCAUGAGAAUGUUAUAUGUGCACACAUUAGGUUGCAAGCCUCGAGCAUGCAAACAAUUAAACAGCCCCUUUGCAUUGUCGAGUUUUCCAGCAUUACACAUGCCAUUUAUUAGGAUAUUGUAAGCCACAAUGUUAGGGACAAAUUUGGAACCUUCCAUCUUUCGAAGCAAUAUCAUAGCCUUGUCAAUCUGUCGGGUUUUACACAAGCCAUCCAGGAAAGCACUCAAGGUGUAACGAUCUAGAGAGACAUUGCGAGAUUGCAUCUCGUUGAUUAGCUCCCCUGCGGCUUGAAGGUUCCCAACCUGGCAAUAUCCAUUUACAAGAGUGUUGUAUGUGAUGACAUCAGGAUACAAGCCCCUUUGCAGCAUUUCUUGGAAAAGCAUCUUUGAUUUGUCAACUCUUUUCCCUUUGCAGUAUCCAUUAAUCAACGUGUUAUAACAAACAACAUUAGGCGAGCAGCCUCUUUUAACCAUCCAAUUAAGCACUUCUAUAGCUUCGUCCAUUCUAUUUUGCAAACAAUAACCAUUCAUCAAUGUAUUAUAAGUGAAAAUAUCAGGCACAAUACCAAAUUGAAUCAUCUGGUCAACUACGGCCUUUGCCUCUGCAAGCAUUCCUUCUUUACAAUGUGCAUCCACCAGAAUAGUGAAGGUUUGAACAUCUGGCAUUACUCUGCUUCGCACCAUAUGACUCAGCAGUCUUCGGGCCUCUUUCAAUUGGCCGGAAUUGCACACUCCUUGAAUGACAGAGGUAUAAGUAACGACGUUCGGUUCAAUUCCUGCCUCCAUCAUCUUCUCUAACAAGACCAUAGCAUCUUUCCAUUGGCCUAGGUUGCAUAAGCAGUGAACCAACGAGCCAUAAGUGAAUAUGUCAGGUUGGAUGCCUGCGCUUGUCAUUUCUUUCGACAAUCCCAGAGCAUCUUCCAGCUGGCCUACAUUGCACAGACUGUGAAUCAAGGAGGUAUAAGUAACAACAUCUGGUUUGAUACCUUUCUUACUCAUGCUUUCGUGGAGUCUCAAGGCCUCUGUGAUCAAUCCCUCCUUGCAAAGACCAUCGAUUACUAUGUUGUAUGUGAAGGAAUUGAUCCUGCAGCUUCUCUCUUCCCAGUCCCUUAGCAAUUCGAUGGCCAAUCUGGUGUUACCCGCCCUGCAUAGCCCCUUGGCAACUAUCGCAUACGUAGUCUCAUUAGGUUCGGGGCCAUUUCGUCCCAUAUAAUCGAGGAACCUCAACGCUUGAUCAGUUUUGCCCUGAAUAAAGAGCCCAUCAAUCAGGGUGCUCGACGUCACCACAGUGAUGGGAAACCCAAGCUUGAAGAUUCUGCCCAGGAUACACAAACCCAUAUCGACCUGCCUUAACCGGCAGAAGCAAUUCAUCCAAAUGGUCAGCAAGGCAACAUCAUCCUCAAUCCCCAAAGAAGGUAGCUGCUCAAUCAAGCGGAUGGCAGUCGAGUAGUGCUUCAUCCUCACUAUAGCACCCAACAGUAGACGGAAAUCCCCGGAGGAAGGCAAAGGGCUCGCCUUUAUCAUUUUACCGAAGCAACACAGGGCAUCACCGAGACUCGUAAACCCACCACCACCAGCUCUGCAAUUUCUCCUCACGUAACUCAAGACCUGGUUGGGGUCGUCUAAAUUAGGGUUAGGGGUCGAGGAAAACCUCCGACGACGGCGAGACGAGAAAGGGAGAUGAGAAGGAUGAAGGAGAUGGAGGAUGGAAUGGGAUGACGACUCGCUGGAGAUCGCAGCUGGAGCAUGCAGAAGGAGGAAGAUGGAAGAAGCAGGGCAGAACUUCGUUGGCUUCAUCAGUUGAUGAUGAAUCUGAAAACUGAAAAGCUUCAGCUUACGGCUCCCUCUCUCCGUCUCUCCCUAUCAAGCUUUCAUAUUCGGGCUUGGUUUUUUGGUGGCAAAAGAUAGUGUUAAAAAUUGGUACAAAUAGACACUUAUAAAGCGCUAAAAGUUACCAAAGUGAAGUACUAAAAUCGGAGCAAAAUAAAUUAUUUAAGUCUGACUAAAAUGUUAACUUGCGCAAUUUCCAGCGAAGUAAAUGCAAAACGGCGUCGUCUUGCGUUGAUGUGGAUGGACAAUGCAAAAACGAGGUCGUUUUAAUAUUAACAUGGUAAAAAAUUAAUAUAAAAAUUAAAACAUUUAAAAAUAAAAAGGGAGGGAGGCGGCUGAGAAUUGAGCCCUUGCCGCCACUACCGCCGAGAAGGGCCGGCGACCCCGGCCGGCCUACGGCAAGGGCUCGCGAGCCCUUGCCCCAAUCUAGGCGAGGGCUACCACCCAUCCUCGCCCGGCCGGGCCAAGGGCCGCCACCCUUGCCCCAGAUCGGGGUGAGGGCUUGUGGGCCCUAGCCAUCAGUUGUCGAGGUCACCGACCCCUGGCCAGGGCCUGGCGACCUCAGCCGACCCUCCCCCCGUAACGGCCCUUCCCGGCAGGGACGAGAACUUAGCCCUCAGCUGCCUCCCUCCUUUUUUCUUUUAAUUUUGUUAAUUUUUUUAAAUAGUAUUUUUAUUUUUAAAUAUUUUAAAUAAAUUUAGUUUUAUAUUUCAUUUAAUUAAUUUUUAUAUUAAUUUUUUAUCACGUCAGCAUCAAAACGACGCUAUUUUGCACUAAAUUCACCUGAAAAUCGACACAUCAGCAUUUUGACUGAAUUUUUGUCGAAUUGGCACUUAAGUGAUCUAUUUUGCUCCAAUUUUGGCACUUAAAUGUCAUUUUCGUAACGUUUGGCACUUAAAUAUCCUUUGUGCCAACUUUUGACACUCUAGGGGUCCUGGUGUCGUUUCUUGGUUAUAAUAUCGAACAAAAAGAUGUAGAUAUGGUUAGGACAUGAUUUCAAAUGAUUUCACAUCAUCAUUCACUAACAAUACAAAUAUUUUUUUAUCAAAAAAUUUUCGCAAGCUAAAUAGUAAGAAAGAACAUGAGCAGUGACGAGCUAUGGUAUAAGGAUUCGAUGCACAAUUACAACGAAAACAGAAUAAAAGCGAAGAAAUUGAAACACAAGAUUUAUCUUAUAUCACCAGUUAAGGGGUCACGCACAACAAUAAAUGCUGCUUGGGGGUCGCUUGAGGUCGCACAACUCAAGUGAGGCUGUUUAGGCUGCGUUUGGUUGUGUUCUUUUUUUUUUUUUAAACACUUUUUCUGUUUUUUUGUUCCUGGGAACAAAAAAGGAACAGAAAUGCGUUUGGGUGCGUUUCUGUUCCUUUUUUGUUCUUUUGUUCCCAGGAACAAAAAAGAAAUAGAAACNNNNNNNNNNNNNNNNNNNNNNNNNNNNNNNNNNNNNNNNNNNNNNNNNNNNNNNNNNNNNNNNNNNNNNNNNNNNNNNNNNNNNNNNNNNNNNNNNNNNCCUCGGCCUCGCCUGGCGGUGGCCCCGGCGAGGCCGCGCCUCGCCCGCCGCUGGGCGAGCUCGGCCUCGCCGGAUCAAGGCGAGGCCGACCUCGCGCCGGCCUGGGCGAGCUCGAUCUCGCCCAGAUCCGGUGAGGCCGAGCUCACCCAGCGGCCGGCGAGCCUCGGCCUCGCCGGAUCUGGGCGAGUCGGCGUCGCCUGGCGGUGGCCUGGCGAGGCCGCGCCUCGCCCGCCGCUGGGCGAGCUCGGCCUCGCCGGCCGGUCGCCGGCCAAGGCCUUGGCCGGCGACCGGCCAAAAGAAGAAAAAAAAAUGAAAAAGAAAAAAAGAAAAAAAGGAAAAAAAAGAAAAAAAAAUAGAAAAAAUAAAAGAAAUAAAAAAAUUAUCCAAAUUUACCAAACAUGUUUCUGUUUAUUUUUUAUUUCCGGAACAAGUUUACCAAACGCGUUGUUUUGUUCAAAAAUUGUUCCCCGGAACAGAAACACAUUUUUCUAUUUCUGUUCCCUAGAACAAUUUUUAAACAGAAACACAACCAAACGCGCCCUUAGCAGCCAUAUUCGAUCAUUGGCCGCCGAUGGCUAAACUUAAAGAAAAAAAAUGUAAAAAAAUUUUUUAACAAAAAUUUAUUAAAAGUCCAUUACAAAUGCAAUUUUUAUUGAACAGCAUUUAAACCAAAGUUGUUUUUUGCUGCACUUUAAAAUUAAAAUUCGCCAAACACUAUUUACAUUUCGAAAAAUCCCUUUAAUCCAAAGGUAUUUGCAUUUUCCCAAUAACAUUUUCCAAAAUUAAAUGAAAAGGGAUCUAUAUAUACCCAAUGGCUAUUUAUGGGUAUAAACCCAUGUUUUUAAUAAAAUGCGAGCUCAAACUAUAAAAGCUCCCGAAUUGAGAUUAUGAAUCACGUCCCAAUAUAUAGUAUAUUACGGAGACUGUUGUUGGAGAGGCAAAACUAGCAAAAAAAAUAGGGAUGGAUUUGAGUGGGGCAUAGAGCGGGAGAGAAGUAGUGGCGGAUGGCAACGAAUACUCCGAAUACUCCAGUGGUGGAUGGCGAUGCUUGGGCUAGUCAUUGGUGGCUGCGAUCAGCGAGAGAAGCAAACAAGAAUUAGAGGCGAGAAAGGCAUCUAAAAUGCGAUUCACUCACCCAAAAUGAAAAACAAAAUGAGUUUACUUUCGUUAACAAACUCUAAUUGGUAGCGCCUUAAACAUUUAUCCCAAAGCUUUAGUCUUUUGAAAAAAAAGAUCCCAAAUUAAUACCUCAUGAUAUAUUUAUCCAAACUAAUUUCAUCUCACAAAACAUCCCAAAUUGAUAGCCCUCGCCGAAAUAUAUGCUCUAUUAAAAUGCAUAUAUGUCAACAUAUGUGAAUUUUCCACAUUGGAUCAAUCAUUCUUCACCUCUCAUUCGUCUUAUAGUCAUCUACCAUUUGUGUUGACAAGUAUGCAUUACAAGUAGAUUUUGGUUUGGAAUACCAAUUUGGGGGUUUUUUUUUUCGUUAGAUGAAAUUAAUUUGCAAUAAAUAUGUCAUGUGUUUACUAAUUUGAGAUUUUCUAGUUUUAUUAACCCAAAAAAAAUCAGAAAAAAAGCCAAAAUACCAUGUUAGACGCUUUUUCUUGAAGGACCCUUAAAAUGGGCUUUUCUCAAAUUCUCCAAGAAGUGAGCUAUACCCCAUGCUCAUCAAUGAUGCUAAAAUAUCUAUCCAAUGAGCAUGCGACGGUCACAUGGCCAUCUCCACCAUCAGUUAGGGUUUAAUUCGUCCCAAAACUUCCAUUACCCUCAAAAUUACUCACGUGAAGUCCCAUAAAUUGCACAAAAUAAGCCCCCAAAUCCCGGUAAUGUGUCAUUUAAAAGCUUGUUUUGUAUAAUUUAUGAUGGUAUAAAUUUUGUUCCACACACAGUGCACCCAAAAUCAACCAAGCUUUUCCGAUUCGAUGAACAACAUAUUGGCUAAAAUUGAUAUAAAAAUUGGACGAAAGAGAAGAUCGCAUUCGGAAGGCGCCAUAUCUGCACUCACUAGGUCUAAAUUAUGAUAUUUCACUAAAAGGUACUAUGCCACCCAAAUUAUCAAAUACACUGAAUAGAAAACAAUCAAUGCUUUAAUAUAGAUGUGGCAUAUUGUUCUUCGGAAAGAGAAAAACGAAUAUUGUCUUCUUCCUCUCUUGCUCUUUUCUCAAGUUGAAUAAUAACAUGUCGUAUUCAAAUACAAGAUAAUUAUCUCUUUUAUCCGACCAAUCUCCUUUUUUGAAGCCAUGAUAGCUUGUUUUGAGGAGAGUGGUCCCUUAUACAUAAGGGUGAGCGAUUCUGGAUUUUUUAUAGGUUCCACCUGGAACAUCGAACAUACCUACUAAAAUAAGUUUAUUAUUUUUUGGAACCUAAAACCUAUCCCACAUACCUUAAAACCUAGAAUCUACCUUGUUGUAUGUUCCAAGGUCGGUUCCAAGUUCUUCCCAGGUUUCACUUGUAUUAUUAAUUGAAUGAUUACAAUGCAUCAUUUUUAAAGACCACUACUCAUUGUUACAAUUCACUGACCACAACUUAUAUUUGGAUACAUGAAUAAUAUGAAACAUUAACAAAAUAAAAAAUUUCAGUCAUAAAAUGAAAACUCAUACUAGUGAUUCAAUAGACACCGUGGAAUACUAUAGAAUUAUAAGAAGACAUAAACAAACAAAAAUACACAUUUGUUCUAGCUUGUACCUACCUGGAAACUGGAAUCUAUUAUCUAAAUAAAUUCAUCAAUUUUUGAAACUUGAAACCUACCCUAUAUACCUUGAAACUUAGAACUAGACAAGUUCCCACUAAUUUGGUUCUUCAGUUCUAGGAUCUACCUUGAAACCAUGCUCACCCCUACUUAUACACACUACAUAUUCUCUUAGAAAGAACUUCAAAGAACAUGGGUUGGGUUUAUUGAGUCGAUCCAUUUUGGGUAGACUUGAUCUAAUAUCCAAUAGGCCCGGAUUUGAAAAUGCUAUUGCAUAGAGCAAACGGUACCACCACAGUGAUUAGUAGUGAUGGUACUAGUGAGCUGUUUCUUUUGGCUGUUUCUUUAGAUAUCUCAUGUAUUUUGUGAGCACCAAUGAGUGAUCUCAUGUGAUGCAUGUGAAUGCAACGGUUUACGUAAAUUUGGGAGUACUAAUCAAGCUAAAAAUUGAAUAAUUCAAUGUUAUGCAAGAUAGAAUGUAAAAAGAGAAAAACAAAAACAAGGAUUCAACGAAUGAGCAAGGGAAUCAAGAAUCUCCUUUGAUUAAGUUUGUCUAGAGUUGUUGGAGUCAACGAAAGAUAACUCCGGAGAAAUAGACGAGACAUAAAUGAGAGUACAAGAUGAAAAAGAACGAGCAACAUAAAUGACAUACAAAUGAACAUUGAGAGGCAAUUGAAACGUGAUAAAACUCUCGUUAAUUCCAAAAAAUGAAAAAUCGGAAUUACCGAUGAUCUGUGAAAGAUGGACAAAUUUGUGUGUGUUCAAAUUGUACAAUUGUGUGCGACGGUUGUCCAAGUAGUAGAAACAACACGUUAGCCAAAGAAAAAGGACAAAUUGCAAACUAAAGAAAUAUUUUGAAUUACUUAAACAGGUCAAAUUGCAUUUGCGUUGUUUUCAUUCUGUAUACAAACAGCUAGAAGCUUUUAAGAUUAUUUAUGCAUUGGAACCAUGGAAGAACAACAAAAUAUCAAAUUGCGUUCUUCUUCUUUUUUUCAUUCUAUAUACAAACAGCUAUAAGCUUUUGUUUAUGCAUUGGUGCCAUGGAAGAAAGGUUGAUAUGCUAAUCGUAGGGGAAAACCUAUUGCGCACAAUUGCUAUAAAUAGUCAGGACUAGGGCGAAAAAAAAUUAAGGUAUAUCACAUUAUGGAUACUCCUUCAAGAGUUGGAAUUAUGCUAAUGUUGUCCCUCUUGAUAUUCAAUGUUGUCAAAGGUGCCCCGCGCACCGGUAUAGUUAAUAGGGCUUGCAAUACCGGCUCCUAUUCGAGCGACAAUCCUUAUGCAAACAACAUGACUUACAUUCUCGAGGACAUGGUGACCGUGACACCAAAUCACGCGGACUACGACUACUCUACCACAUCUCCUUAUACCGUGGCAGCCGCCUACGGUCUCGCAACUUGUAGCCAAGCACUUUCUUACAGCAAUUGUGGCAAAUGCACGGGCUCCGUUAAAUCCCCAAUACUGGCGAUAUGUCCAAACAGUGGACAUGUCUUGGCACUCAAGUGAAGCUUGAACAUUGUAGAAUGAGGUAUGAAAACUACUUAUUCAACGGUUACGUAGUUUGGCGCCAAACAUAGAGAACCUUGUUUGAAUGGCAACAAACCCAGAACAUGCGUUGCUUAAGUUUGUUGAAGAAUAAGUCCUUUAGUCACGUAUCUUGAUUUCUGUUGUGCGUGGUUGUUUCUACUAUACAUGUUGUCAUAUUUAUUGUGGGAAAUGAUAUUGUUUCCUAUACUUUCUUUGUUAUUUUAAAGUUUUCAAAUUGUUUUUUUUUUUUUUUCAUGACGAGAAGACCUAAGCAAGCAGCUAAAAGUUAACGACUAUUAUGAAAAAUCAAACUUGCAUUGUGCAUCUAAGCUACACCCACAUCAUUGGGUUUGUUCCUAUGAUACUUAAGAGAGAGUCUUCAAGAGACGGCAGUUGGAGACACGCACAAAAGAGGACGUGCAAGAUAGUGCAAAACCAGAAGUCUAAAUCAAUAGAAGGAAACGCUACCUAAUGGCUAACAGAAAUGGCCACGACCUUGCUAAAACCGCUUGUGAAUUUACCAUAUAUGUUGAACUCUUAGCACAAUCCUCGAUGAAAUUCAGAAAGAAACAACCAUGACUUUGCCCCCAGUUUUUGCAUAAGAAUCACUACCCGAAAUCACUAAGGAGGUCAAGAACGUGUUUACAGCAUACAGUAUAGAUGCCGCACAAGGAUUCAGUCAUUUCAAUGCCAAGAAAAUAUCUCAAGGAAGCCAAAUCAGCCAAAUAGAAACUAUGUUAAAUCAGUUACUGAUCAUAAGAUAUAAGUGUAUUCAACAAAAACCAAGAUAAGUACAGAGGAUGAGCUAAUGCAUGAAAUGCAAAAUGGACUUAUCAGCAUAAGAUUGAAGCAAACCAGCAUCCACUAAUGCAGUAGGAGAUGCUUAAUAAACCAACUUUCUUUGAAGAUUUUACGAGUCAUCAUAAAAGUGGAAUUGCUUCAGUUGCUAAGCCCAUGAGCCUGCUUUUUUAAAUCAGGAAAUAGACAAAAGAGACAGCCAAAGAGUUGAUCCUCUUGUGACAUACGCACAACUUCAAAUUAUUUUUUCUGGCUUCGAUUGAUCAUGUCUCCCACAGUAUCCAAUCGUGAACUUAGCUCAAAGACUGGUCUCCAAAAUGCUUGUGCGCUACUAUGAUUGGGUCAGCAAACAAAGAGUAGAGGGCAUGAAGAGAGGCAGAUGGUCCAGGCAAGUCCCCCUGUUGUAAGUGAGAAACUUAAAAAACAAACAGAAAAAUGUGUUCCCGAGUGAGUAAUUAAAACAGAUAAAAAUGCCAAGGAAUGUACCUCCAUUGAGAGCCAACCCUAUUGAUCGGCAAAGUAAUUCAAUUAAUGCAGUGGAAAAGACAAUGGAAUUUAAAUCAUCUGGGCCUGACUGCGAUGAAGUUGAUUGUUGUUCUCAAGACCUCUAGCAUUGGGAAUGUUUGUCGAUGGUGUUCAUGUUCACCCAUCAUCAAAUGCUUUUUGGAAAAUCCCUUGCAGUGCAAAGGGGAAGAUACUUCAAGUAGCUUUCAUACACUUGCAGCCACGUUCCUCACUCAGCAAGCCAUCCCUAUGUUAUUUGCACGUAAGAAGCUGAGCAAAUAAACCAAAUAUGUAAUCGACCUGUGGUGAUAAUCUGAGUACACAGCUAGACCCAAAUAUUCUCCACUACCGAUUCAAAUACCAUCCACUUCACGGUAUGCCUCUUCUUUGAACUAUCUAUGGUGAAUAGGACAUUGUAAGGAUCAGAUUGUGAAAAAAGAAAGUUUAUAACAGAAAACUAGGAUCUCUCUCUCAAAGCACAUACACAAUAGGCUAAUCAGGAUUUAUGACAGAAUAUACUUCAUUACAAAGUAAAGUUGUUGCAAUUAACAUCUAUUUAAUUCAAUAUCAUCCUUAGACUGCUUAAUCAUUUGUAUGAAUUUCACCCGUUUGAAUAACAUUAGGCACCAAAAGCACUAACAGACGAGUAAACAUACCAGUUAAAUACAGAGAUUUUGUACUGAACCUAGAUAUACAAGGAUCAAAAUCCACCUUCCACCCCUCCAAAUAUUUGCCAUCUUGGCGGGUUCGAUAUAGUGAACUGUCUCCCAGAUUUAAAACAACUUCAUUAAUGGGACAUGAGACUCAGUGAGAUGACGAUUGGAAGAAAAAUUGGCGGUAAUCUGAUUUACUCUGCAUCACAUUUCAGACGAAAAAGUGGACAGAUCUCAGAGACAAUGGAGAGUUCUACUAGAAAAGGAAGAAGUUCCAUCUUUCACGAGAUAUUUGACCCACAACUCCAUCGUUGCUACAUCUGCAGAAAAACCCCUGUCAACCAUUUCACUGACAAGUUGCACGGCUCUAGUACUUUUGUUAUUUCUUAGUAGUCCUUGGAUUAUUGUGUUAUAAUUGACCCCAUCUGGAAAUCAUCCAUUUCCUUCCAUCUCCUUUAGGAGCUGAUAUGCUUCCUCUGUACGUCCUCCUUUGCACAACCCAUGCAUGAGAAUGUUACAUGUCGACAUGUUAGGUUGCAAGCCUCGAGCAUGCAAAGAAUCAAACAGCCCCUUAGCAUCGUCGAGCUUUCCGGCAUUACACAUGCUAUUCAUUAUAAUAUUGUAAGUCACAAUGUUUGGGACGAAUUUGGAACCUUCCAUCUUUUGAAGCAAUGUCAUGGCCUUGUCAAUCUGUCAUGUUUUACACAAGCCAUCCAGGAAAGAAUUCAAGGUAUAAUGAUUUAGAUACAGAUCAUGAGAUCGCAUCUCGUUAAUUAGCUCCCCCGCGGCUUCUAGGUUCCCAACCUGGCAAUAUCCACUUAUGAGAGUGUUGUACGUGAUGACAUCAGGAUUCAAGCCCCUUUCAAGCAUUUCUUGGAACAGUAUUUUUUAUUUGUCAAUUCUUUUCACUUUGCAGUAUCCGUUAAUCAACAUGUUAUAGGUAACAACAUUAGGUGAGCAGCCUCUUUCAACCAUCAAAUUAAGAACCACCAGAGCAUCAUCCAUCCUAUUUUGCAAACAAUAACCGUUCAACAAUGCAUUGUAAGUGACACUAUCAGGCAUUUUACCUAAUUGAAUCAUCCGGUUGAUUAUGGCCUCUGCCUCUACAAGCAUUCCCUCUUUACAAUGUGCAUCCACCAGAAUAUUGAAGGUUUGAACAUUCGGCAUGACUCUGCUUUGCACCAUAUGACUCAGCAGUCUUUGGGACUCUUUCAAUUGGCCGGAAUUGCACACUCCUUGAAUGACAGAGGUAUAAGUAACGACAUCCGGUUCAAUUCCUGCCUCCAUCAUCUUCUCCAUCCAGACCGUCGCAUCUUUCCAUUGGCCUAGCUUGCACAAGUAAUGAACCA